rnacentral:lncRNA from 1 species
AGCUGCUUCGUCAUCUUCUUGCGGCGCGUCGCCGCCUGCGCCGCCCUCGGCGAGUCCAUCGUCGCCGGCUCAAGCUGCGCCGCCGGCCUGUCCUCGCCCGGUUGGCCCCUCGCCUCCAUCAAGCUCGGACACACGUCAAAUGCAGCUACCAGCAAUGGCUGCAAGAAACAAGAUGAACCACGAAAGACCCCAUUACUCCAUCAGCAGCUUGUAGCAGCAUUUCCUCCUGCCUUUUGGUCUCUUUUUUCGCCCACUUGCCCAAUUCACCUACUACAAAUUUCCCAAUUCUAUCACCCCUCCCUCUCAAAAAAAAACACUCAAUCCCAGCUCAAUGCGGAAAUAAAAUCCAAGAAAAGGAGAGAGAGGAAAAAGAAGAGCUAAAAAGUUGACCGAGAAAAAAAAAGAAGAAGUAUGAACCAACCAAUUGUAAAAGAAGGCCAUGCAAGUGCCCUCCCCACUCCAUCUACCCACACAAAGCCAUUCCCCAAUGCAAUUCGCACCACACAAGAAUUGGACAAGAUAUCUAGGAGCCGAUCGCAUGCAACGCAACGCAACGCGGCUAAGCAACCAGCGCCCCUCGGCCUCUCAAUCAUACUCCCACAUCCCCCAUUUCGUGACGGUUGCGAACGCAAUCACCGCGAAAAGCCGCCCCACUUCAACCUCAGACCUCGCCACAAAAAGCCACCAAUGAGUCAGCAAUGGCGCAUAAGAAAACUCGAUCGGAUCGAAAAGCAAUCGCAUCGCAAUCGCAGUCGGUCGCAGCAACAACGUCCGAGGAGCACUGGAGCACUCGAUGAUGGCCUGGCGGAGAAGAUCGAUAAACAAACCGCGAGCAUGAUGGGAAUCCGGAAUCGCGUUAGGGAUUAUAGAAUCUCCGGCGCCAUGCCAUCCCCUCCGCGGAACAGGAACUGGGCGGCGGCGGCGGCGGCGGGCAGACACGCACACAUGGGUGGCUGGGCGGCAGGGACAAACAUACCGGCGUGACGAGCUCUGCGCGCCCUCCGGCUCGCGGCGUCCAUGUGAGCCAUGGGGCCCCCUCAUCCACAGGCGGAUCGGCAAGCAGAGGCAGGGAUGAUGCGAGGGAGAAGACAAAGAACCGGGCUGGCCGAUCGCAAUAAAUAAAUCCCCCAGUUGAAUCAACGCAUGAGCAGGCAUGGGAAAAUGGAAUCAAAUUCAGUGUGUGUUUCCCCCCUUCCCUUUUAUUAAAAAGGCGUUCUUUCUGUGCUCGUUUGCUUCCGGCUAAAUUAAGGAACGAACAUGACUAAUUGUGAGCCGUGACGUGGCUCCAUAACUAACGCUGCAUUAUAGUUAUCGUUAACAGGCAGUUGGUCACCGAUGCAAAUGUUAGGUGAGCAAAUAUUUUGUCUUCUUUUUUUAAAAAAAAAUGGGUCGUUCAUGCUGUGUUAUUCUUUCUUCUGUUAUUUUCCUCGUGUAUCUUUUUAAUUUAUGUGAACGUCAUUUUCGUUUCCAUGCGUUCAAGAGGUGCGUGUCAUUUUCUAUCAGCUAUUCAGCUCUUUGGUUUGGGUGCUGACGGAGCAAUUGUUUUGGACGAGAGAGAGGAAAAGGUGGGCGUCGACCAUUGACGAGGAACGGAGUGCAGUGAUGCGCAGCCUCAUCUCAUCCAUUGACGCCGGCAACGAGAUGCCGACACAUCAACGAGCGGCCGGGAAGAAGGUUUCCGAGCGAUCGAACGAUUCCCCGUUGCUAGCCGGCCACUCCAAACCGAUCAGGUAAUCGAUGUUCAAUUCAGUUCAGGAACUCUGCACUGAAGUAAUGAUGAUAGCAAACAAAUUGAACAGCAUCGCAACAGGCCAUCAAGAAGAAGAACAUCACGAUGCCAAUGGCCAUGCUCAAUCGUGCGUGAACGAGUUGAGGACAUUUUUUAAGCUGAAUCCGUUGCAUGUACCACUGACUCGAUAAGAACGUUCUUCUGUACUGCAAACUAGUUACAAAGCCAGCGCCUUUACAUGCUACUCCUGCAAAAGCGCGGAGCUUUACAAGAUUCGCAUAUGCGUAAAGCUCCAAAGCGAAAUCGUGUUCCAGUGGUGGCGCACUGACCAUCUCCAGCUUCCAUCCAUCAAUCCAUGAACCACUCAUCAGUGAACUUCGUCACGAAGGAACGAGCACGACCGUAACAAUUGUAAAGUUGCCAUCCUUUUGUUUGGGCAGAGGCUAAAACUUUUCCUGCUUUGGUCACUAGGGUUUCUUUCCUCACGUCCUUUCUGAACUGUAAAAGUUCACAGCCAAUAAUUUUCUCCAAAAAAAGUUUAAUGAUACUCAUAGCUGCUAUGUCAGUGUGAUCUUGCAGCCGCCACUGGAAACCCAGAAAUAUUACAAUGGAUUCGCUGCAGGCAUAGUGUGGUUUCACCUGCUAAUCCACCAAAUCAUUCGAUCGGACCAAUCAUUUAAUGACCAUUGACUCCGAAUUAACAAGUCAACAGAGUCAACCGUCAGUGCCUUCACUUCACACGGCUUUCACGCUUUGGGUUCUGCGUAAGCGUAACCACCACCUCUGGUGUCAGCUUCCUUCUAGACCCUUUACCAUCUGAUGAAAUUCCACGCACGGUUUUCAGGAUCCAGACACUGGAGUGAGACGAAUGGCGAUCAAGUUGCGGUCAGGUUCUCGUCUCACUGUCUCAGUACAUACCUCCUCCUGGUUGCCUGUCUCCAUCGCCAUGACUUCCAAGUGCACUCCAGCUCCCGGGUGUCCUGUCUACAGAGAAAAAUCACCAAGCAACAGAAUAUCGGAACGGCAAAUUUCUCAACUCUCAUGUGCUGCGGAAAACGACCGGAGAACAAGGAUCCACCCUCUUCUGUCUCUUCUCCAUGGAUGCGUCUCUGAGAAAAGAAUAUAAAAGGCAAAGGGUAUCCAAAUAUAUCAUGCUACUGUCAUUUGAAUUGACUAACUGUUGAGAUGAAUUUGAUGAAGGCCAUGCAUAAGGAGCACAGCACAGGCUGCGUGUAUAUAUAUAAUAUAUAUUCUGAUAACCAAUCUAUCUGUAGUAGUAUAGAACCAAGACCAUCGCCUCCUGCUGAUCCAGGAACAAGGGGAAUGGCAGUUUUACACCAGCUUAUUAGAAUGUACAAAGUUAACCCCUAGUAUCUAAAGGGUCGUGAUUGAUGUUCAUAAUUACAUUCGUGUUGUAUCACUGCCAAAAGGUUUGGAGGAACCAGAUGGUACCGGACUCAAAUGGCAUAUAUCCGGUCGAUCUCGGAAUCUGAGAACUCCGAGUUAUGCUGCCAUGAGUUUGAGCCGCUCCUCCUGGUUGAUUUCACCUUCUUCCUGAUUUUACGCGUGCGCUUGGACUUCACCACGUAGUAUGUCAUUGUCCCAAGCACACCGGCCAUGAUCACCCCGCCAAUCAGGGUCACAAGAAGCGCAGCCCAUUGGAAGUGCCGCCCCACAACAAUGUACGAGGAGGAUAUGAAUGCGACCGUCGUGCACACUGAAGCCAGCCACAUCAGCUUGUUGAUGACCUCGACAACACGCCUCUCUGCUUUGGUCUCACCCCUAACCACUGUUAUCUGGACCACCACAACUGCUAACGAGGUGAAGAGGGCAAUGGCGUUGAAAAUGAAGAAGACUUUGAAGGCUGCCGCGUGCACAGCUACCGCUACACCAUGGUCGUCGUUACCGCCAGGCACUGUAAAGAUUGCAGCAAAUGCCACCGUAGCGAAGAGCACAGCCACAACAGUGACCGAAUUCGUUGCAUUGUUGAUGCCUUCCCUAUGGAGUUUCCUUAGCUCCUUUGCGAUACCAUAGACAUUUUUGUUGGUUUUUCUGGCCUGCUCAAGCUGAGUAUGCACAUCCUUUUUGAUCUCGGUCACUGUUUUUCUGAGCUCAUCUCUAGGCUGAUUCAGAUCAUUUGCCCUGACUGCACCAGCACGGGCUAAACACUCCUUUAUUUCUUGAGACUCCUCUGAUAGUGGCAGGCCCUCUGCUAUGUCAAAUGCAGUCUUCCGAUCCCUAGUCAAUGCAUUCACAUUCAUAUCUGGAAGAAGUAGAAGCACAUUUACAAUCUGCAAAAGGAGACAGGCCUGUGAGCAGAAGAAUAUUGCAUUUUGUUGGACGAAACAAAAGAACGAUGCUAUUUUACAUUAGAUAAAAGGGAAGAAGAAUACCUCUGAUCUUUUCUUUCUGGUUGCAACAUGCAAGGCUAAGUUGCCAUUUCUGUCAGGUAGCAUGACUAUGGCCGGAUCAGCAUUCACAAGCGCCUGAACAACCUCAGCACUGGUUCCUUUCACCGCCAUGUGUAGAGCAGUCUGGCCUUUCUUAUCAGUCCUCCGAGCAAGCUGGGUGUCAGCAUCUAACAAAGCCUUCACAAUUUCAACAUGCCCCUGCCGCGCAGCGAAGUGCAAGGCAUUCUUUCCAUUUGCUUUUGAUAGCUCAACCAACCCAGAGACUCGAUCUAGCAGCAGGUUGACCACCUCAGUGUGGCCUCUAAUGGCCGCCGUUAUGAGAGGAGUCACAUUUGAUUGGCCAAACGUUUUCCCGAGGGAUGGAUCAUGGUCCAGAAGUACCUUCACAAUAUCUAUGAACAAAUGUCACUAGUCCAUUUCUCUCUAUGAAACAAGUAUACAUAAAAAGUGAAUGGAAGCAGGCUUUGUUCCCUAGCUUGUGAUUGUAUAUAACUAUAUAGCCUAUAGGUGAUGAUACACUACAGCCAGUAUACUCUAUCAGUACAGGUCAAUUUCAGCACCCAACACUGGAAGACAGAGUAAUAAAGUAUAGCAACAAAAUGAUGUAACAGAUUACAUGUUCGAAUUUAAGGAUUGAUCUUUAGUUCAAGUUGGAAUCAGAGUGGUUUAUGAUGCCGGGGGAGUUGAUGCUCACCUCGGUGGCCCUCUUUCGCAGCGACGUGCAGAGCAUCGAAUCCGGACUUGUUCUUCCUUGUGAGGCUCUCCUUGUCGGAGUGCUUAAGCAGCUCAACGACGAUGUCAAGAAACCCCUUCUCGGCGGCGAUGAGCAGAGCAGUCUCCUCCACCUCGUUGGUCUCGUUCACUAUGGCGGCGCGGAUCUCAGCGACCUCGCUGUCGAACUCCUCGCCGGUGCCGGUCAUCUGCGCGUCGAUCUCCGCGAUGAUCUGGCGCACGGCCUCGAGGUCCCCGCGCUGCGCGGCAAGGUGGAGCUCCGUGUCGUUGUGGCGGCCCGUCACCUGCUUGACGUACUUCUUCCGCCCCGCCUGGUCCAUCCGCUUCCCGGAGUUGGAGAGCACCAGCACCGCCGCCGCGGCCGUCGGCGACGGGGACGGCGACGGCUGCGAGCUGUCGAGCCGAUUGCUGGAGCCGGACAUGACCAGCACGGGCCCCCUCGCGGUCGCCGGCGACGACGCCGGGGAGGACUGGUCCAGCCGGUUGCUGGAGCGCGACAUGACGAGCACCGGGCGCGCGGGCGACGAGUCGAGGCGGUUGCUGGAGUGGGACAUGACGAGCAACGGCCGCGACGGCGACGCGGCCGGCGACUGGUCCAGCCGCUUCCCUGAGAAGGACAUGACGAGGCCGGGGCGCUUGGCCGCCCGCGCCGGGGAGUGGUCCGGCCGCUCCCCGGAGGCGCCCGCGCUGGACGCCGGCGACGGCGCCCCCUCCGACCCCGGCGACGCCAGCCCGAUCUCCAGGUCGGCCACCCCUGCGCGCAACAAACCCAAGAGCCGCGAUCCCUCAGCGAUCGAUCAACGGAACACGUAUCGAGCCAGAGCAACCGAGGGUUAAGGAGGAGGCGGGCACCUUUGCCGGAAUCAGCGGCCAUGGCGGUCGUCGUCGGGCGGGCUACGGGCGGGCGGGAGGCAUGGGGCGGCGGGAAUGGGAGGUGGGGAGGCGAGCCGCGGAUGGCACGGAAGCGACGGGGUGGAAGAGGAGGAGGGGGAAGGGCAACACGGACGGGAGGGAUCGCGCUCGGCUUGGGUGGGGUGGGCUCGCGUCGCGGUCUUCUCUGCUGUGUGUGCGUCUGCGAUGAAGGAGAACGGAGGAGCGCAGCGGCGUUUGUUUGGUUGGGUUUUUCCGGUUCCGCUGUUGUUUAUGUGGCUGGGCCUGGCGCGCCAGGCCACCUGCCGGUAUGCGUUGCAUAUGGCCAUUUGUCGCUUUCCAAGCUGAAUAAUUAUCUCCCCUGUUUCGUGCAAGUGCCUGUCAGGCUCACAUGCCCUUUUCUAAAUAAAUAAAUAAAUGCAUCUCGUGUAAUAUCAAGUGCGCGGUAAUCUACACGGUUUUUCUUCAAGAUAACCUCUUAAAAACUUGUUAACGUCGAUGAAGAUAAAAGCAAACGAUGUUCUUUUUUAUGAAUUGCCAUCAAAAAUUGAAACGCUAGCUAAAAUCACAUAAUUUAGCUCUGUGCAGUGGUCGUCUUAUUCAGCUUGUCCAUCACUAUUCUAAAUAGGGUUGCAAUUGGUGACACCUUCUUCAGCAACGAGCUUUGGUGGCUUGUAGGCUUAGGGGGUGUUUGGGAGGAGAGGGUUAAAUUUUAGCCUCCGUCACAUCGAAUGUUUGGACACUAAUUAGAAGUAUUAAACCUAGACUAAUUACAAAACUAAUUACACAACCUCUAGGCUAAAUCGCGAGACGAAUCUAUUAAGCCUAAUUAGUCCAUGAUUCGACGAUGUGGUGCUACAGUAACCAUUCGCUAAUGAUGGAUUAAUUAGGCUCAAUAGAUUCAUCUCGUCAUUUAGCCUAGGAAUUCUGCAAUUAGUUUUGUAAUUAGUUUAUGUUUAGUCCUCCCAAUUAGUAUCCGAACAUCCGAUGUGAGUCCCUGCAAUCCAAACACUUCCUUCCUUGUAAAGAUCGACAACGAGGUUCGCUAGUAAUGCGCUAGUGUAAGCAGUAAGCGGAUCGAUGGAGAAAAAAUAUAUCGUAUAAUAAGGCGGCAGAGUUGUUGAGAUUUCAAAUGUCUAGCACUCUACCGUAAACAUAUACACAAGCAACGUGUCAGUACGGUGGCAUGGCUGGAGUCGGUAGGGAUAGAGUUUGGUUGGGGGUUUGAGACAGCGGUGAAAGCCUUGCGAAACAAAAACAAUGAUGAGAGAGGGCAAUGGCUCAGAAUUCAGGAAGACAUGUUGUGAAUCCCCUGGUAGAGAUCUUUAGCGACUCAAUCAAUUCCUAGGAUGGUGAUAGGGCAAUCGGGUGAUAGCGAGCAUGUAAGGGGUGUUUGGAUACACCUUACUAAACUUUUAACACCUGUCACAUCGGAUGUUUGAUACUAAUUAGAAUUAUUAAACAUAGUCUAACUACAAAACUAAUUGCUCAAAUGGAGUCUAAUUCGCGAGAUGAAUCUAAUAAGCUUAAUUAGUCUAUGAUUUGACAAUGUGAUGCUACAGUAACCAUUUGCUAAUGAUGGAUUAAUUAGCCUUAAUAGAUUCAUCUCGCGAAUUAAACUCCAUCUGUGCAAUUAGUUUUAUAAUUAGCUCAUUUUUAGUCCUCCUAAUUAGCAUCCAAAUGUCUAAUGUGAUCCUGCUAAAAUUUAGCACCUCGUAUCAAACACGCUUUAAAUUGCCACGCUAGGAAAAUGGGGUCAUGUAAAUAGGAUGCCUAGAGUAGGGACUGUGAGCUUUUUUCCAUCUAAAGGGUAGGCCUAUUUAGAAAUUUUAACCUAAGAUCAAGAAAAUCAAAUGUUUGGUAGGGCUAAAACAUGCUUAAUGUUAUUCAGCACCUCCCGUCCAGGUUCGAGAACAAACAAAAACUCCGAACAACAAAUUUGGAAGCGAAAUCUUAACGAAUCGGCUACAAGAUGCUUCUAAGACAGGGCACAUGUGAACUCAGCUCGCUCGGCAGAGUAGUAGAUGAUGCUUCGUGGCGUUCGUGGCUAGUGGCUCCCAUCGGUAGCUCAAAUCUCAAGUUGCAAUGCCACCAGUACCACCAUCCGGCAAAGGGAAUCGUCAUCGGUGGAAGUGGAACAGAGAAUCCGGGAUCGUUGCGGCCUUGCGGGGCCUCCUCUCCGCUCCGCCGCCGCGCUCCGCUCACCGCGAAACAAAGCACACGUGCACGCGCACCCCUUCCUCGUGCGGUCGUGCCGGUACGCGCCGUGGGCCGACGCGCAUACCGAGCGCACGUUCUCGAUCGCUCUACCCUUUUUAACGGCAGCUUCAGCUUUCCCAGCGAAAAGCAAAUGCACAGCCGGUGCAAUGCGAUCGACUGAUCGAGACAUCAAGUUAAAUUUCUGUGAGAACUCAGAGAACAGAGAUGGGGAACCCACACACAGUGACACAGCCUGGGUUCAGAGAAGCAGGGUUGCUGGCCUGCAGUGUAGUGUUAACAUCCGAGUCACAACACUGCAUCAAGGUCUUGUUUAGUUCCCUCCUUUUUUCAACUUUAGCACUAUGCAAAAAGAAGAUUCACCAUCACAUCAAACUUGUGAUACAUGCAUGGAAUACUAAAUGUAGAUGAAAUCAAAAACUAAUUGUACAGUUUUGUUGUAUUUUGCGAGACGAAUCUUUUGAACCUAAUUAGUCAAUGUUGGAUAAUAAUUCACAAAUACAAAUGAAAUGCUACACUUACACAUUUAUAGCAAAAUGCAAACUUUGCCUCUUCCAAUUUGAAAACUAAACAACGUCUAAUCCGACUUCGCAUGUUGGUUCCGCCGCCGCGGCGAAGGAUGGAACGGACUGGACUGCUGCCUUCACGUGGUCAGCUUAUCUUGACUCGCUGGUCGGUGAGGUCAACGAGUCAACUCCCCCAACGGCCCCACGCGCCCGACAGUAGCGAAGGGACCUCGGUGGGCAUACACGUGAGGCUGCCAGUGGAGUUAUGCCGGACAUUAUGAAGAUACGAACAGGGAAAACGAGGGCCGAAUCAAAUCACUGUCUCCCAGCUUGAGUUAUCUGCGUCGAUUUUUUUUUAACGUUCUCUGCGUCGAUUUGAUCAAGGUUGAAGAUCGAAAACCUUCGUAGAAGGAAGAACGCCAGAACGGUAAACAGCAGGGAACAGCCUUCCAGGUCUCAGCAGUGUGUCUUCAGUCUUCAAGCAGAAACAGUCUGAUCGGGAAACCUAAGGAUGCUACAGCUAGUUCGCAUUGACUGACUGAUUGACACUACGGAAACACAGGGCAUUCAUGCGGUCACCACUCUUCACUUGCCAGUUCACUACCAGAUGAGGAGGAGAGAAAGGAGAAACGCGCGAGAAGAGCCCCGCGAGUCCGCCGGGUUUAGCCGAAGCGAAUCUCGAGGACCAAUGUCCGUCUGUAGGUCGCCUCGGCUUUUGUUAUCCUCUGGCUUCCGUCGGUCGGGUUUCGCGGUGUCGGCCCAGCGAGGAGACUAUGGCCUAUCGGCCCAGGAUAGGAAUUUAGGCCUUGCCAACGCAGGGAUUCUGAUACAAUCCGUUGGCCGAAGUGGUUCGAUGCUCACAGGAGUUGUGAGAUUCACAGAAAGUAAACGCGCCCAAGCUAGCUUACCACGCGUUCACGCAACAAAAUCGCGGUGGCCAAUUGCGCGGCCGCGGCUUACACGAAGCGCGAUCGAGAGCAGGUUAAGCGCCCGCGCCGGCGAGACGCACGGGUUCGUAUGCGGUGGUGCUCAGCUAGGCAGUGCUCCGUGCUCCGACGAGGAACUCCUUCCACCUUCCUGAAGUCCUCGCGCGCGCGUCACCAAGCACAGGUCGAUCGCCGCGCACGGCCCGCAUGCCACCGGCCUCGAAGCACACCGCGGCGCGGUGUUAUGUGGCGCUUAAUGCCGCCGUGCCGCCGCCCUCCCGAGAUCCACUGCACGCCACCUCGCGCGCGCGCUCGCUCGGCGCGCCUGUCCAGCCGCCACGCUGCAGCGCACCUUGUCCGCCGCCCCCACCGUCCGUCGAACUGCGUGCGCUGCCGCGACGUCGUCCACCGCCGCGUCGGUAUGAUCAUCAAGGCACUCGACGGCACCUUCUUACUAGGAAGCUGGAACACAUCGCGAGCUAUUCUGGGCCCAGGAAAGGGGGCGGUGAGGACGUGGACGCCGCGGCGUGGCGACCAUGUCGACACUGGCGCCGGCCAGUCGGACCCCAGGGGUGGACGGUAAAUGAAAUACCGUCCACCCCCUGGGCCUCUCCCGAACCAGAUUGGGCACGUGCGGUCGAGAUCGGCGCGGAUGGUAGCGAGACCCCUCUCCGCCUUGCUCGCGGAGACGCACGACGCGCCCGCCUGGCGUUCCCCGGCUUCGACGAAACGAUGAGCUCCCGUCCAUCUGGAAGCUGGGAGUAAACGCUGGUCAUGGAGACUGGAACAUCAUAUCUUGCUCUUGCCAAUUGCCAUUGCCCUGUGCCCGUCCAUCUGGGCCAGCAGCUCGCAGUCCGCGCUCUCGCGCCUAGCAGUAGUUUCCUCCCGUGCCGCUCAAAUGCCGCCGUUGAAGCACACCAUGGUGAUCCGGCCGGCGGCGCGCUCGUGAUGUCAUGUCCGACACCCGCAGCUCGAAGUCCGUGUCCAGCAGGACGUUAUUGACGGUCACGUUGCGGUGGACCAUCGGCGGCGAACAGUCGUGGUGGAGGUCCGCCAGCGCGUGCACGAGCCCGUCGAUUGCGCGCACCCGCGCCGCCCAGCCGAACCGCCUCGCAGCUCCGGCCGCCGGUGCCGUACAGCACCUUUCCGAGGCUGCCACGCGCCCACGAGCUCGUACGCCAGGUACAUGUGCCCGCCCAUGGCGCAGAACCCGUGGAGCAUCACGAUGUUCCGGUGUUGGACGCGCGUCAGCGCCCGGACCUCGCUCCCAAAGCUCCUCUCGCUAGCGCCCCGGCACGCGCCGCCAAUCUCCGACGCGUCCAGCCACUUCACGACGAGGCUGUGCCCACCGGGCAGGUCGGCGAGGCACACGCUCCCGAAGCUGCCCUUGCCGAUGCACUGAUGCAGUAGGCCUCGUUGAAAUGCUCCGUCGCCGCCAGGAUGUUCCCGAACGAGAACUCCGCGUUCUUGCCCCAAGAUGGGUGCGACGUCGUCCACCCCCGCGUGUCCUCUUCGAUAUGAUUAUCAAGUCAGUCGAUGGCAUCUUGUCCAUGGGAGUCUGGAACACAAUGUGAACCAUUCUGAACCCAGGGAAAUCGGGUGGUGGCGGAGCGUGUUUACAAUGGCGCCGGCCAGUCGGAUCCCGGGGGUGGACGGUAAAUGAAAUACCGUCCACCCCCUGGGCCUCUCCCGAACGUUGAAUCGGACUCGUGCGGUCAAGAUCGGCGCGGAUGGUAGCGAGGCCUCUCCGCUAUGCUCGCGGAGUCGCACUACGUGCCCGCCUGGCGUUCCCCGGCUCCGACGAAACGAUGAGCUCUGCGAGCAAACGCUGGUCACUGAGACUGGGCACCAUAUCUUGCUCUUGCCAUUGCCAUGCAUGUGCCCGUCCAUCUGCGCCAGCAGCUCCAGCGCCCGUGCCGGCGCCGGCUGCCAGCAUCCAGCAUCCGCGGGCAGCACGCCGACACGGCACCUGCACGACGCCGGCGAUCUCUCGCUCCCGCACCGUUUGCUGUUGUGCACAGCCGUGGCGCGAGGCGCCGCCGCCCCCUCGCGCGCCUAGCAGUAGCUUCCUCCCGUGCCGCAUGUUGAAGCGCACCCCCCUCCACAUGCCGCUCGAAAGCUGGAGCAAACCGUGGUGAUCCGGCGGCGCGCUCCUGCUGUGGUGCCAUCGAACCCGGCCGUCCACCUGCUGCCUGGGUGAGUAGCUCCACCAGCACGCGCACGCUGCAUACACCAGACCUCGCUGCCGUCGCCCGUACGUGCUGGCGUCAAGCCUUGCCGCCGCAACGAAGACAUUGGAAACUUGGCAUUUGCAGGUGCCGCACACUCAUAUAUGAGGAAAAAAAAAGUAAACAACACACCUGAGACUCGUGCAUUCAAAUUAUAAGAGAGUACGCGACCAUGCAUGAUGAAACACACACAUGGCGCUGCAAAACAUCCAACUAAAAAAAAAAGGCCAUGCUGCUAUGAAAACUAAUUAACGCCGUGGGAAUUUACUAGCCGAGAAUAGCGGUGUUCUCCAGCGAGCUGCGAGGGGGUGGUCGUCGUACAGCGCAAGAGACCACGAGAUUGCGAUGAAGGUGUAGUCAAAUACCAACAGCAAGACAUACAAGGUAUCAAUCGACCUGCAAAUUAACACGAACGGAAUUAUUAGAUAAAACGCCAUGGUUAAUCAAAUAUUACGUAAAGAUGGACCAGCAAAUAAAGAAAUCGCAUGCGAAAAAGUCGGGCAAACAUUAUUUGCUAAAGCGUAUCAAAUUACUAUUCGUCUUGACUUUUUAGAUUCAUAACAUUUACUAUGCAUCUAGAUAUACACUAUGUCUAGAUACGUAGCAAAAGCUAUAUGCCUAGAAAAACCAAAAUGAAUUGUAAUUUGAGAUGGAGAGAGUAGUAUAUAAUAUACUUAUCCAACAGGAUGCACGUCCGAUCUCACCAUCUUGCCGUAUCUAUAAUGAUACAUCCCAGGCGAGGUUCGAGUCAAGGCGAUUUGUACGCGCCAGAGUUGCUCGUGCCGAUGGUGAAGAAGGACUGUGAAGAAGGACUGUCGUAACCUAUUCCUUACUUAUACAUACAUGCCUCUUUCUAGUCCUAUUACACAACCUCUGCGUUCCACUGAAUCAUUGGAACUGCUGUGAGCCAACUCUUUCUCAACAGUCUAAAAUGACUCAGUUGAUGGAUAUAGCUAGCUAAAGCCUCAAAGGCAAGUAAAGAAUGAGCAACAAGGUUUCCCAUAACGUUUUUGAACGUUUUUGAGUAGUUUGACAGUCGGUCGCGACUGUUGUCAUAGUCAACGACGGUUGAAACUUUCAGGGAAAAAACUUCGAAUUGGGAGGGCAAUCCUCCCGGUGAGCUGACCGUACCCCAAACCGACAUAGGUGAACAAGUAGAGUAUACUAGGGCGCGUCAAGAGAACCAUGUUGAUAGACUGGUCCAGGAGUUUAGGGGUGGCCUUAACUGUCUCACAAUAGCAAACUUCCUCAAGCCGACAUGUCCCAACUGAGAUCUCAAAAAAAAAAGAUACGUCCCAACUACGACAAAGUUUUUCCCUGGUUCUCCGUCGCCAUAGCUGAUAGAUAUAUACCGUAUUCUGUUGGGAGUCGAAAACCGUAACGCGCGCGGAGUUCUACCGCCCGCUCGCAUAGACUAUUCUCGUAUAGUCCACAUGCCGUACUGUAUAUACAAGUAAAAGCAGAGUAGCCUCAAAAAGCCAAAAAGCAUAUAUUAUAAAAAACACGACCACAGUGAGAGUCGAACUCACGACCUUCUGAUCCGAAGUCAGACGCGCUAAUCCACUGCGCUAUGCGGUCGAUGACUGAAACUAUUUUUUCUCAAAUUAAAUAUAGUAUUUACAACAUCGAAUCUAAGGAGAGUGGAGAACGAUUCCACGCACGUGCGGCAUCUGCGGGGGACAAGCCACCGCGCCAGGAAGCAUCUCAUUCGAUUCGGCAGCUGCGGGCCCACGCUCCCCUCCGCAUCACACGUGCCACUCCCCCCGCACCUGCGCCUCCCCUCGCCCCGCCCACCACUCUUCUCCGCCUCCGGCGAGAGGGCGCGACCCACCCCGCAAUGAAGCAGCUGCACCGGCAGUCGAGCAUGAGCAAGCAGCACCGGCCGCACCACCACCGCACCUCACUCUCCCGCACCCUCGCCUCCUACCUCCUCCGGGAGCAGCGCCUCCUCUUCGUCCUCCUCGGCUUCCUCCUCGCCUCUUCCUUCUUCCUCCUCUACCCGUCCCUCACCCCGCAUCGCGCCGCCGGCUCCUCGUCCGCUACCAACAUCGCCGUCGCCGUCGCCCGAAAAAUCCCCCGCGGCGGCGUGCGCCGCCUCCCCGUAGGCGUCAGGAAACCCUCCCUGCGCGUCGUCGUCACCGGCGGCGCUGGGUUCGUCGGGAGCCACCUCGUCGACAAGCUCCUCGCCCGUGGGGACAGCGUCAUCGUCGUCGACAACUUCUUCACGGGCCGCAAGGACAACGUCGCGCACCACCUCGGAAACCCGCGAUUCGAGCUCAUCCGCCACGACGUCGUCGAGCCAAUCCUCCUCGAGGUGGACCAGAUCUACCACCUCGCCUGCCCCGCAUCCCCCGUGCACUACAAAUUCAACCCCAUCAAGACCAUCAUAUCCUUCCCGCUUCCUUGUCAGUUUUUUUUUUUGAGGGUCGCUUCCUUGUCAGUUGUUCAUUUAUUCGUAUGGAUAGGAUUUCCUAUGCCAGUCUUAUACUUCAAUGAUGCACAUUUCACAUGGGAGGAUUUAGAAUUUUGCGUGCCUUCGUUGCCGGGAAGAACCGGAAUUUUACAUCUGUUUGUUUUGUUCUUAUUUUGCUUUCUUCGAAUUGUUUCCUUAACCAAUGAUGCACAAGACAAAUGUCAUGGGGACCUUGAACAUGCUUGGACUGGCUAAGAGGGUUGGGGCCCGGUUCUUGCUGACUAGUACCAGUGAGGUGUAUGGUGAUCCACUUGAGCAUCCACAGAAGGAGAGCUACUGGGGCCAUGUAAAUCCCAUAGGUGUGCUAAUUUUGUCUCAAGGAAGAAACAUUUAUCAUAAGCAAGACAUACCUUGGGAGUAUGGCCCAUUUGAGUCUCUCUAAGUCCACUACAUUGUGUUAUAUGCCGCUAUGCUAUAAUGUGCAGGUGUUAGGAGCUGUUAUGACGAGGGGAAGAGAACAGCAGAAACUCUUACCAUGGAUUAUCAUCGUGGUGCUGGUGUUGAGGUAAAGCUUCAGUUUCUGAGUAGGGAUCAGGUCUAACUACAGACCAUCUUGUUGACAAUAUAUAGGACCUUUUAAAAAUUGUCAUAUGUCAAUCAUGUACGGUCAAACAAAUGUUAUGACCAUUUGGUAAGUUUUGCAAUUGAGCUGCACGCACAUGUAAAAUAUUGAGCAUGAGCGAUCCAUGCCCUCUUGCAUAUAUUAUUUUCUCUUACACUUCAUUUUGGGUAAUCAUUAAGAUUAAGUAUAUUGCUAUGGAUUUGUAAAAAAGAAAUGAUUAUCUUCAUAGUAUGUGGCAUUAAAGGUUGUCCAAAAAUUGGUCCAUUGUUAAAUUUGAGAAAGAUGUCUUUUCUUAACUUUAUCUCGGGUGUAUAUUCAAAAUAGCGACCACUCAUUAUUUAUAGAUGGAGGGUUGUCAGGAAGGGAUGUUGCAUUACAUUAAGCUGCUGAAGUGCUAAUUGAUCGGAUCCUCUGGUACUUUGGAGCUUUGGAAUUUUGAUUUCUGAUUUUCAUUUUUAGCAAGAUCUUAGUACAGCCUUAGUUUAAAUGCUGCAAUUCUGCUUCUGCUUAUGAGUUAUAUGUGAGCUUUAUCUGUAUUCCACUUCUUGAAGGAAGCUUUGACAUAAGACUGCUUCCCUCAGGUGAGGAUUGCUCGCAUAUUCAACACAUAUGGCCCUCGUAUGUGUUUAGAUGAUGGUCGAGUUGUUAGCAACUUUGUUGCACAGGUUUGUCUCAUUAUGGUUCUGAUUUAUAGGAGAAGAAGAGUAUCAUAAAGUUCAGCAUUACCUAAAGUUGGACAUUGUCUCAUUUUCAGGCUCUGCGGAAACAACCAAUGACAGUAUAUGGUGAUGGAAUACAGACUCGGAGCUUUCAAUAUGUUUCAGAUUUGGUACUUAUAACUUAUGCAUGGUUUUUUGUGCAUUUGUUUAUUUAUACCAGAACUACCAGUUAAUGCAUUUACGGAUUAUGGCGCCAUAAUUCUGAUCUCCUGCCCUGAUAAAUAUUUCACGCGCCAUAAUGCAGAAGUGCAUGCAUUGUUCUUUAUUUUCCUCAACUUUGUUCUUAGUUGACCAGUUUUUAUUUUUUAUCUUUUUUUCUGCUGAAAGUUCAUGUUUGCCAUAUUCAUAUCUGAAAAAUUUACACAUACACGAAUUUAUAGGUUGAUGGGUUGGUAACUCUGAUGGAAAGUGACCAUAUUGGACCUUUCAACUUGGGAAAUCCUGGAGAAUUUACAAUGCUGGAGCUUGCACAGGUCUGCUCUUGAUACUGAAGUUAUAUACCCAUUAUUCUUUGAAAAUACCUCGGAUUCUUGUCUACAAUACACCUACCAGGAAUCAUGACAAUGCACGAUUUCGCUACAGGUGGUAAAAGAAACAAUCGACCCUGGCGCAUCUGUCGAGUUCAAACCCAACACUGCAGAUGAUCCACAAAUGAGAAAACCUGACAUCUCUAAGGCCAAAGCUCUUCUCAAUUGGGAGCCCAAAAUCUCGCUGAAACAAGGCCUGCCGCGUAUGGUCUCGGACUUCCAGAAACGUAUAAUGGAUGAGAAAUGAGGAGCAGGGGCUACCGAACUCAGAAUACUGUAUCAUACUGACGGAUCCGGUGCCUCAACAAAGCUCAGAUGAAGGAUCACUUGCCUAUAUUUUCUUCCUCCAGGGCAAUUUCUUUUUUGUGAUAGGACAUCUGUUCUUUUGUUUCGGUAUCGUUGAUACAUAAACUUUGCCAUAGAAUUACAUGUUCGAGUUGUUAUCAAAACUGUAGCCUUUCAAUGAACAGUUUAGUAUCUACAUAACCAUAGUCUUUUUUCUGUUUUACAUUGUGUCUUGCAGCUCACUCAGUUCCAUUUGAGGAUUUCAGAGUCUCAUUUCACUGCCUUUCUGGGAGAUUUCAUAUUAAAGAUACUUAAUUUACUCCAUACAAUAUCACAAUUUGCUGAUGCGAUCGAAGCACCUAUCACAUUACAUACAUGCUGGCAGAAAAGUGGCAUACUUGAAAAUUCAAACGCUGCACGAAACUGCAAAGCAUCGUAACCCGGAAGGACAAGAGCUUGCAAUGGAGCGGCUCAAAUGAGGUGGAUGUUGAACUGGAGCAGGGUCUCGACGCCGUCGGUGGUGUGCUCGUCGCCGGGGUGCAGCGUCUGGAUGGCGGCGAAUCCCUUGGCGUUCUCGUACUUGCCUGUGCCCCCGAUGAUGGCGAUGUGUGACUCGGGCGCGGCCAUCCGGUGGACCCCGAAGAAGCUGAGCGUGUCGCCGUGCGGCGCGUCGGGGCCCUCGAACAUGGCCGUGAGCACGAUGGUCUUGCUGGUGCCGUCCUGUGAGCUGGCGACGUAAAACCCCUGCGCCCUGCCGAUGACCCCGGCGCCGAGCUCGUGGCCCUCGGUGAGCUCGUCGUCGAUGACGGUGGUGGUACCGAAGAGGAGGUUCUGGAGCGUGACGCCCGAGGGGAGGUCCCCGGCGUUGACGAAGGGGAUGUUCUUGUUGCCGCCGUUGACGGGGUUGCCGUUGUUCUGGACGAGGACGCCGCCGCCGGAGGUGCCGCCGAGCCCCGCGACGUAGGGGGCGUUGUUGCCGUUGAUGAGGCUGGUGGCGCCCUGCGGCAGCGGCACCGCGCCCUGGAUCGGGAAGAUGUUGGUGUUGGGGCGCGCGAACGGGAGCUGCCCGUUGGCCGCCGCGCUCGCCACCACGCCGGUCACGAUGCGCCCCGACGGCUGCGAGCCCCCCAGGAUGUCGUGCAUGAAGAACGUCAGCGGGUGGUCACCCGCGCCCGCGCCGGCGGCUCCGACGUUCGCAGCUGCAGCGCCACCGCUGGCAGCUCCUGCGGCGUUGCCCGUCGCGGCGGCACCGGCAGUCGCAGCCCCCGCGGCGCCCGCGGCUACUGGGCCGGCCGCUGGUGCCACCACCACUGGGUCGGUGGGGGGGUCCGUGGGGGCGGGCAGCGGGUCGUCAGGCAGGGGAGCCUCCGCUGGAGCGGCAGGCUGAGGCUGCUCGUCGAGGACGCGGCCGGCGAACGCGCAGUUCGCCACGGCGAGCGCGAGCGCCAGGUACAGCGCCGCCCUGACGGCUUGCACCGCGUUCCUGGUGGCCAUGACGGCAACGGCCGUGUCGCAAAGCAGACUUGAAUGUCCCUGGACAAGAGCGAUCAAUGUGUCGCGUAGGCAAUCAGCUGUUGAUCAGUGAAUCGCCUGUGCUAGCUGCUGUUCAUGGCGUUGCGAGCUGCAAGAUUUAUAUGGGACGUUUCAAGCUUGGUGGAGUUGCUUGUUGGCGGUGUUGUGUGUUAGUUGUGCGAGGACGUCCAGGAACCUAAACCCCUGAGAAGCGAGGAGCAGUUGGGAGGGACAGGAACCGAGGCGCUCAGAUGACCAGCGACGCACGGGCAGGUGUGCUGAUCGGGGAGUGGUUUUGCCUUGCCCUGCGAGUUUGCAACGUGCGCCCGCCCGUCGGCGCAGAUCAAGUUGCUGCUGUGAACGGCGUACCAAAAUGCUCGCAGCGUGUUCAGCCGCUCGAUCCAACAAGCCCCAGUAGAUCACUAUGGUCAUCGCAGAGCAUAGGCACACGCAUCAGCUCUUCAUGUACACUUGCGCAGGGUUGGACAUUGCUCUUUUGCAUAAGCUGCUUCUUCCACAUGAGCAUGCCAUAUCCCCCAAAGCACAGGGCACAGCACAAGAACUAACAUUGUCAGAUCGCAAUAACUGGACUAACAGUCACUAUUGCAUGUAACAAUAAACAUAUAAAUGCCAGCAGAGAUUAAUUUACACAGUACCUUAAUACCAAAAUUGUACAUUUCUAUUUCACUAUUAUACCAGCCAGAAAAAGAAGAAAAAUCCGCCUUCCCGAGUUUGGAGGGAAAGCCUCCAGGACUACGUUAUUGAGUUGGGAGCAAAAUGGUAACAUAUACAUGAUACAACCAGGUCCAACUGGGGAUCCCGCUUGUUUUUGGUGCUCCAAUAUCUACCUACAGCCAUUUAAGCCCAUCCACUUCAGUAGCCAUGUGGUGAAUUCCUGUAAUUAUCAGCCUCUAUAGCGAUUCAUUGAUGGCUCCUUUCACUGGAUUUUCACCAGCCAUCGAUCCAUAUGCAUAUGCUUGCGAUGGCUAUUGGCGCAAAACAUUGGUCAUCUCUAGCCACAGAGCUUGGUGGAUUUAGCCACCCCCAAGAAGUCAGCUAUGAUUUCCUCUAGGAGAUCUUCUUGCAAGAUACAACCAAUAUCGCUCCCGACCAGAUAGGCACCGUCUUCAGAACUAGCCCACUCAACACUCAAGAGUAGGCUUUCCUGAUUAAACACCAUCUCUUGCCGUAGCUGGACCACCCUUUGCCACACCAUCUCAGCAAACUCUUCAUGGUCCCAACCAGGCAAGCACAUCCUCAACAAUCCCUUUGAGCAACUCUGCAUUAGAGAGGUGAUUAUAUCCCUGAGAACAACACUUGUGAUGUCAAACAAUAGCUUCCUCUCAGCUGGUGGCCAUAAAAUGAGGCUGCUGUACUUGUUUUCAAGUUCAUCAUAUAAAUCAGCGCCUGCAGGACACUCCAGUAAGUAGCAGUUUUCAAGCAGCUCAUCCUGGUUGGCAGCAUGAAUGCCCAAACCAGUAAGCAUAUCAAGCACGUAGGAGAAAUCCCUCUCUUCUUCAUCCCUAAAAGCAUGGGAUUCCUCCAUUUCAGGAAGAGGCUGACAUGCUGUCUCAUUGUCACUCAAUAUAAAAAGCUCAGUGUCAUCUCCACCAUCCGUAGUCUCCCUCUUGAGAAGCCGAAGUUGCAUUCUGAGCUCUGCAAUAUUUACAAUAAAUCAAAUCCAAGAACUGAGAUUAAGGAAGAAAAAUCAGAAGAAAAAAACCCGAUCACUUGCCUUGAAGAUCUGCGCUAAUUUUCUCAAAAUCUCCUGAGUAAACAUCUUCAGCGUCCAUGGAAGAUUCAAGAACAGACACUGGACUUUGCUGGUCAUCUUUGUUUGAGCUUGUUGGCGAUUCGGAUCCAUUAGGUGGAAUACAAAGGGUUUGAUUGCCAUCCCCUUGGCGAUGAUCAAUCCCCACAAGAGAAUCUGAUUCUAUCGUGGGAUCAUAAAUGGUUGGGUAAUCAUCAGCUUGAUGGUAUUCAAUCCGCUCAUCCUGAAUUGAAAACUGCUAGCAGUUAUUAAGCGUGACAUGGGAAAAACCAAGCAAACCCUCAAAUGACAGCGAAGGCAAUAUAAUAGUAUGCACAUGUUAAAACGGAGAAAUCAGUGUUUUUGAGUAGUGCACAUUUCACACUUCCAGCAGAACACUGAGUGCAAACUAAAAGUAAAUUAAAAAAAAUAAGGAAUGGCAUCUUGGAACCUUAGUACAACAAAUCAGAAGAAAUUCAAACGGUUUGCUCAAAAGAAAGUGCUCACAUGAUUGAAGAUUUGCUAGAGUGAACGAGAGGAAGAAAUAAUGCAAUAAGGGUAUUCGUACCUUAAUCUCAUCAAGAUUAGGGUCGAGAAGGCAUUCAUCUAAUGCUGCUGCUGCUGUCUGUUUAAGCAUUUGCUGGUUCUGUCCAGUAGAAGAAAGAGGUGUUCUAUUACUGCCAGGGAUUGCAGAACUGGUAGCCAGAACACCUACUGCAUCUAGUUCAUGGUCAAGAUUUGCAGGAUGCAGUGACUGUUCAGAUGUAUCUGGCACGGCAGUAAUAUUAACUGGCUCCUCGUAAUUUACAUGUAUCUCACGUUCAACUACCAUUGUUUCCUCAUUAUCUGGAGACAUCAGAUCAGAUUCAUCACCAUGUAUUGUAGAAUCUCUACCCAGAGAUUGUCUUUGCCUGCCACGACAUGCAUACUCAGAAUAGUGCGGUCCCACCUUCAGAACAUCUUUAAGCAUUGAAAACUCAUUAUACCUAACACUACCAGCUCGUUUUCUAUUGUUCGACUUUUGAACUCCGCGGAUGAAGGAUGGUGGAAGAGAUUUGGACCUUGUCAAUUUACUAGCAGCCGUGUCUCUCCAUCCAUCAUUGCUGCUGAUGCCAAGAGGAUAGAUGCAUGAGCCUUGCAUUCUAUCACUCUGAACUUCUCCCUUGGGACAUUUCCUGCAUGCCAUUUUGUGGGUAGCAACUUUUGAUGCUUCCUGAUCUGAGAGAGCAAGCACAUCCCCGAGUGUGCUGAAGCCAUCACUAUCAGUUACUUGAUCCUGACACUGAUGGGUCUUCUUCCAUCUGUUAGAGAGGUGUCUCUUUGCUUCCUUGCUUACUGAUGUUUCAGCUGAAUAUGUUGGUGAAGAGUUGAAGCUGGAAGAAGGCCAAACAUCACAUAUCUCAGAAGAUCUAUGAAUUGCCUCUGGAGUCUUGUGCUUAGAAACAGAUGACAGGAACUGUGACCUUUCAUCUGAAGCAAAAGUUAUGGUCUCUGAGUUGACAACAUGUUUCCUACUUCCACCCCUAACAGCUCUCAUUUGUUUGGUGAUCUCCCUAGCAAUUUCUCUAGAUCCCUUCCCCAUACGGCCUAAUGUUUCAGAAUCUCCAAGGGGCACCUGACACAUGUAAUCUUCAGUAUACGGACUCCAUCUACCAACAUCUUGAUAUUCUUUGUGCUUCCUAUAAUCAGAAUGAGAGAUUUCAUGAUGCAGGGGAAGGGCUCCUUCAACAUCAUGGGGUUUCUCAAGACUUGGCUUCAAGACAACAAUCCGGGUGGGACAGCCUUGAUUUCCAGCAUUUUCAUGGUGACCGGACCUUGACAGUUUCUGCCUCAAUGAACCAGACUCUUCUUUUAGGGAUUGAUAGGACACGUUAGGAUAUGGCUUCCUCAAAGAAUGUUUCACUUCCUUUUGCUCACUGAAGUUGCUCUCAGUGGCAGUACUUUGAUUUCUUCGAGAUGGCUUCAAUAUCGUUAUGCAGUUUGCGGUAGAGGAUGGAGAAUCACGCUUAUGCAGGUCCCUUCUGACAACAGGAUCAAAUUUUUGAAGAAAUUCCAACAAAACAUCCCUGUUAGAUACUAAUGCAUCAAGUGUCUCAUUAAAUUCUUCUGACAUAUGAAGGGAUUCAUCAGUAGAAAGACGCUUGGCAUCUAUAAAUUUCUGCCUUAUGAAAUCUAUAUCAGCACUGUCAGUCUUGUCAGAUCUGGAACUUGUAUUUCCAUUUUUAGAUCUUGGGCUCCGGUGCAUCUUUGUUUUUGUGGCCUCCAUAACUUCGAAAACAUCAAUUAUAUCAUCUGCACUUCUCCUGUGUGGAAUGCUUUCAUGAAAACCAACAGGUGAAGUCUUUGGUGCAUGACUUCGGGUAUAUACAUGCUGGUUAUGGGUUCCAGAUGAAGGCAGCGAAUCAAGACCCAUUAACCUCCCUACAGCACCUGGUGAAAUGUGCCUAGCAUUGACAUCAUUUGAGAAUUCUUCGUCUAUUAGCAUUUUCAUUGGUACAACACUGCCUUUUCUUGAUUUACUUUGCCUGUUAACCGCAGCAAACUGAGACGGAAAAAAAAAGAGAGAGAGGGCAUAACAAUUCAUUAGUUAGCUCUUACAUUGGCAAAGUAAAUUCAACAAAUAAUCAGUUAAUAAAAGUGUAAAGUUUAAUAGAUGAAGAUGCAAACUGAAUACGAUUAAUCCUCAUAAAUAAUUACAGCAAAUUUCACUUGAUACAAUAAAGCAUACCAUUUAAGACAUGUUUAAAAAUACACCAAUAGUAUAUGCACCUCAGCUUUAUGCUGUCAGUUUUAUGGCAUAGUUUCAAUAAGUCUUGAGCUCUUUAAUUCCAAGCAUGUGAAUCAUAUGCAUAUGAUAUACAUCUUCUACUAAAUACAGAUGACUCACCAUAGAAUCAGAUAGUAUCCCUGGACAAGUUGCUUGUUUCCUAGAAGGCACAACUCCUGUUCAAAAGCAAAGAAAUAGAAAUUAAUAUUCGCAGGUCAAAACCAGAAUGGCAACAGUAGUAACAUGCUGAGGUGGAUUUGUAAGACCACGAAGGAAAGGUUGCAAAUGCAAUUCAUUUGUUCCUAGACUCCACCUAAAGGUAAAAUAAAUAUGAAGAUAUCAGUUGUUGGGCUCGAUCAGGCAGUCUUCGUAAGGAGAGAAUUUACUAGAAAUUACUAUGGAACUAGAUAUAUGAGAGAAGGGUGCAUCAAAAGGAAGCAUAAGCAUCCAUAAACAUCAAAGAUUCAAAUUGUUCAUGCAGCGAGUUCCCAAGUUGCCAUUUCUUUCUUAACAAACCCGUACAACUUCAUUUUGCAAUUUAGAAUUGAAGCAAUGGCAAUCAUCAGCUCGUCCACAAACCAUAACUUUCUGGAACACCCGCAGAAUAUUUGUUGAAACAUUUGCACAAUACUAAAUCUCUUUAGGGACAUCACUGGUGGAAUCAGGGGGGCCCUCACCAUGUAAGUACGUCAUUGCUGCUACAACUAUAUAGCUACAUAACCUUCCAUCACAUGGAGCCUCUUUGAAGGACACAUCACAAGUAAGGAGAUGCAACAGGCCAGAACUACACUGACAAGGUACAAGCUUUGUAGGACCACCCAGCAAAUAGGAACCAUGAAGAAUAGUGCACAGUAUUUGCUUCAAUUCCACAUGGCAGUAGACUGAAUUUCUACUACCCCAAGUACUUCCUUUAUAGAACAAGCAGAAGGGAUCCAGAGCAAGUUUCACCGUUAGUGAUUAAAAAAGCUGUACUUCUCUUCUAUGACUAAGUGACAAAUCCAUGUUUAUCAAAUAUUUGCUUAGCCAUUAGCAUAGGAAGUGAAGACCACUUGGCCAUGAACCAUCACGGCAUCCAACAGCCAAGAGUACACGGAAUAGAAUAAUUUAAUGCUUUAACUUACAUAUCCAGCAAAUUACGGACAAGUGAGGUUUCUUUGCGUGAUCUUGUGGGAAUUGACAAGUUGACAACAUCAUACAUUUCUUUAUGCAACUAUAAAUUCCACAAUCUACAGUGCUCCAAUAAUUCAUGGCAUCCCAUGAUGUAGAAGUUUAUUCCAAAUACGGCAAAACUGGAUGGGAAAUUGCAUCCUUUUCGCGCUUGGUUUUUAAAAUUGGCCUAGAACUCGUGCAGAAUCUAGGCCACUGCAGCUUCAAAUGAAAGGACAAUAAACAAUAGAAAAGAAUUGUCCGCCAAAAUGGUUUGAAAUUGGAAGCAAGAAUCUUUCUCUCUCCAAUAAAGGCAUGACUAAGACCUAAAGUCCACGAGAAAGCUAUGUCCCCGCAGCAAAAAACAAGGUUAGAAAAGAUUGCAGGCCCUUUCACUCAGUUAUGUCAAAUCUUCAAGAACUAAGUUGAUUUAUGCCAAACUAUUUGUCCUAAGAAAUCAUGUUAUUAGCUAAUGUGCACAAACCCGGAAAAGGACGUGCUUUCCAACACCAAACUUCACCCAUACGAAGUGGAGAUGACGGUGAAAAGACGGGAUUUAAUUCAAAACACAAAGCGCAACCUAAAAAUGGAUUUUGACGAAUGUGCAAGCAACCCCAAGCUCCCGAUAGCAGCACCAGAACUACAAAGGGGGGGAAACGAAAACUAUGUCCUAAUCUCAUAAGGAUGAAGCAAGAGAAAAAUAACCCCAACAACCAUCACUGUCCAAGAUCAAAGAUGGGAUCUUCAUCACAUGGACUCCCUACCAAAAAAAAAAACAAAAACUUGCGCAGAAAAAAAUCCGAAAUUUCAAAAGAGAAAUCAAGCAGCACCAAAGGAAUCUACAACAAGAAAGUGGGCAAGCGCGUACCGUGGUGAUCGGGGCUGGUAACGGUGGAGCGCGCCGCAUUCCGCUCCGACGACCCGUCGCUCUCUCUCCGCCGCGAUCUGCCUCGCGCAAUGCUCGCCAUGCUCACCUCCCCCGUUCCAGAGCCCGACCGGUUGCGGCGACGAAGCAAUCUCUCAUCCGCCGGGCGCAAAGUGGGGGGGCGGGAUAGAGAGUGGUGGACUCUGAGAGCUAAACGGGCGAGUCGAUUUUGAGUGGGAGGGAGAGGACCGGAAGAGGACGACGACGGGGAAAUAGACCUGUUUGUUUUCGUCUGCCCGUUCCUUGUCUCUCUCUAGCCUCUCCUCUCUGGACGGAGCGCUGGUGGCCUGUUUCUCUCUCUAAAAUCUCGCUUACCUAUGUGAGGUUUUGUAUCUUUCAGUUUCUUCUCCCCUUCUCUCUCUAUCUACAAUCCUUGUCACUCUAUCUCUUUUUCAAGUAUAUAUCCACCAGUUGUACAGUAUCUCUACUCAAUUAAUUUUGCCAUAGCUUGUCAUACUCCCUGUGCUUUUAUUUGGCUUUAUUUUGCCUCUAGGUCCCUCGACAGUUUUAUAUUUGUAGCAUCGCUGUUUUCACCUUUAUCACUAAAGGUGCAUCAUUAGGGGUUUGCUUGCAAUCAUCAUUUUCGCCCCCGGAAUUGUUUAGAUAGGUAAAGCAAGUAAUGUUUAUUCUAUAUAAUCAAUGCUAAUGAUCCUCAAGAGUGAUAUUAGUUAUACCAAUAUUACAUUACUAUUUUUCAAGAUUACUGCCAAAAUAUCAUAAGAAUAAACAAUACUUUAAUUAUGUAAGGUACUCUUUAUUUAGUUCUAAGUUUGUGAUAUUAUCUAUACUUCUUCUCACCUUGUGCCAAAAAGUCGAUGAUAAGAAAAAUGGCGUUACCCUAACGUAGUAAAGCUAAUAUAAACCUGAAAUAGUUCUACUGAUGAAACACUCCACAUUAAGCUCUGUGAUCGUUGGUACUUCUUUUUGCUUGACGCCAAAAAUCAUGCAUACAAAGAAAUGGCUUAGUAACCUAAAACACUUUUUCAUUUAGUUCUUGACAUUUGUAAUCAUCAACACUCCUUUUCUUUUGGCUUUGAGCAUGAUAAUUUUUACUAUCAACGUAACGCUAAUAUAAAUUUACAAACAUUUUACUAUUUGCACUCGAUAUUGAAACGACCUAUUUAAUGUCACCAUAAGCAACCUAACAUCUAAGUUUAAAAUUGCGGAGAAUGGACCAUUGUCUGUUUAUAGGCGCUCCACGACCCAAAACCAAAACACAUCCAUAGUCCGAACAGUUGGACAAAAGUCAAAAGAGAAGCCUAGCGCACACCCUCCAAGCCCACCGGUCCCCAAGGCACGUGAAUUUUUUAGAAGCAAAGGGGCCAAUUUGCGAAAGCCACCCAGUACGGUCAGCCAUGCAGAAGAACCCAAAAUCGUUUUCCCAUCACACCCAGCCACGGCACCUGCAUGGUCAGUGUCUACAGUACACCACGCGGGACCACCUGCCGCAGGCGGGCCCGUCGCUCACACGUGUGGGUCGACGGUCGAAGCAAGCAGGCCCCUGGUGCACCUGGUCCAUGUCCACGCGUAGUGGCAUCCGCUGGCUGAUCCGCGUUGCCCGGUCUCGCCCCCGUGCCCGUGCGCCCGCCUGGGAUGCCGCUGCCGUUGCCCUGCCUCCCAAAGCACGAGCGAGCGAGCGGCCUACGGAGUACUACGUGGAAGACGCCCCUCCUGGCCCCACGCAUCGGCCAGAGCAUACUCAUUAAACCACGGCCCAGGGCCCCACCGCGCCGCAGAGCAAGACAGCCGGGCCCACGCGUUGGUGUACCCGGGGCCUUGGCCUGCUCUGCCGGUGCCUCGGUACCGGACCCUAGGAUGGUUUGCGAGCGCCUGCGCUUGUUCUCUAGCGGUGCGUGGCUCUAGAGGAGUGGAAGGGGGAGAAGGAGGGUGGGGCCCCCGUGCAUCGGCAGGUAGGGCAGGGGCGCAUCGGCAACGGCGAGCGAUCAUGGCGGGUGGGGGAAGGGAAAACGACCGGAAGGAUACGCCCGUGCCCGUGUCGCGUCGAUGCAAGGUAGGUGACGCCGCAGCUGCAACUCGCGGGCCUUCAAUUUUGGGACGGUACUACCCGGGGCCGGGAUGCAAGGUUCGUUGCUGUUCAGUCCGACGAGUACGAGACGACACACGUGCACGAUUUAUGCAGGAGAAUCUCUCGACGGCGCUUGGAGCAAUACUGUUUCAAACUACGGCAACAGGAGACGUGGAGAUGGAGUGCUGGUGCUACUGAUCCACGGACCACGGAUUGUUGUGCUGGGCCUUGAAGGAUCAGCAAGGGUACUGUACCGCCUGAGCAGAGAAAAGAAAACGAGAGCCGAGCCGAGGCCCGGCGCGAUGGAUGUUGGUUGUUGGAUGUGGAUGGCGGCGGGCGGACGGGGACGUGACAUGCGCCUAGAGUCAACGAGAUUCCUCUCCUCUCCUCGCGUGCUGCGCUUGUAUCCCGGGUCGCCUGUCGCGCCGCGCCGCUAGCCGCCGCGGCGUGCUGGAGAGUGGAGAGCUUGCAGUAGCAGAGGCAGGCAGGGCGCCAGAGCUUUUCGUACACGACAGCGCCCAUUCCUUCCCUUGAAUUACGCAGGCGGCAGGCCUUCUCAUGACGAGGUGCUCGUACACUUUGAGGGACGUUUGGUUCCUUUGUUUAUUUUUAGCACGUGUCACAUCAAAUAUUUAGAUACUAAUUAGGAGUAUUAAACGUAGACUAUUUACAAAAUCAAUUAUAUAAGUAGAGGUUAAGCGACGAGACGAAUCUAUUAAGUCUAAUUAAUCCAUCAUUAGCAAAUGUUUACUGUGGCAACACAUUGUCAAAUCAUGGACUAAUUAGGCUUAAUAGAUUCGUCUCGCCGUUUAGCCUUCACUUAUAUAAUGGGUUUUGUAAAUAAUCUACGUUUAAUACUCGUAAUUAGUAUCUAAAUAUUCGAUGUGACGGGUGCUAAAAAUAAGCGCAUGUAACCAAACCAGACCUUUAAAUAAAUCCGCUGAAGGUGAGCACCCGUGCCGAGGGGUAGUAGGCUUCUACUAGUGGUGGUGGUGGUGGUACAGGGCAGAGUAGCCAGCCGCCAUCGCACAUGCGGACGCGAUUAUUAGUCCUCGUGUGCAAAACAAGCGCGUCUCAAUGGUUGACACGAUCUCGCCGCGCUCUGUUUUGGUUCCGGCACGGAGAACACGACGGGAUUCUCCAAGCUCACCAGGCACACACCAAGAAAGAAAGGGGACACGGUAGAUUAUCCAACGCUUAAAUGAUCGUAGAAGAAAUACUACACCACAGUUCUUUCAAAAUCCUAGGGGGCGUUUGGUUCCUCGAGCUAAAGUUUAGUUCGUGUCACAUCGAAUAUUCGGAGACUAAUUAGGAGGACUAAAUAUAAGUUAAUUAUAAAACUAAUUGCACAGAUAGAGGCUAAACGACGAGAUGAAUCUAUUAAGCCUAAUUAAUCCAUAAUUAGCAAAUGGUUACUGUAGCAGCUCAUUGUCAAAUCAUGGACUAAUUAGGCUUAAUAGAUUCGUCUCGCCGUUUAGCCUCCAUCUAUGUAAUAUGUUUUGUAAAUAGUCUAUAUUUAAUAUUUCUAAUUAGUAUCUUUGAUGUGACAGGACUAAAACCAAGCAGCCCCUAAUCUGCCGAAGCGGGCUUUAUCCGCUGUCAUAGUAACUUUGACAAGAUAGGUUGAUUCCUUUUAGUACGCACAUCAUCGGUAUGCGUGCAUGUCAUGUCACUUUGAGCGUUUUUCUGUUUGUACACUUGGGCCGCCACGAGACGACGAGGGCAGUCACCAUACGUCGCAAAUCAAGGGCAAAGCUAGUCACCGUACCAUACGCUUGGUGGCAUCCCGCGCACGUGGCGGGAGCGACGACAACACGGCGCGGCCGCCACCACGCCACGCGCCAUGCGGUACUAGUAUAUGGCACGUCGAAGUUGACAGUGCCGUGAGCCACGAGUCAUGGCCGCCGCCAUUUCCGGGCAUCCAUUAAUCAUACGCGCGACAAAGCGCCCCCGUCUUGCGUGCGUGCGUGGAGGCUGAAUUUGGCGCGGCACGGACCCGAGACGUCGACGGAUCGGCCGAAACCUGCCGCUAAGGGCACCGCAAUGGACUGACAGGCUCUCUACAAGCCUUCCACGUAGGAGAGAGAAUGAGUUGCCGUUACGGCUGAGCUGCGCGGGCCUCACCACGUGUUCUCCCUCUCCCUCUCCCUCUCCCUCUGCCUCGUCGUCCAGCGGUCCAGCCAUCUCUCCGCCUCCUCCACUGCUUCGGCCUCCGGUGCUGGCCACGGCCACUGACACGGGGCGAGACGAGCGCAGCCGACGGCCGACCCCAGCGCGAGGCGGACGCCGACGUGGGGCGCGGCCACCGGAAGAGGACAGGGCCGGGGCAUGGGCGGAGGCCGGACCGGCGCGGCAGGGCCUCCGGGAUGGUUAUGAGGGAGAGGGGAGGAAAGAGGAAGGGAGCAGACUGAGGAAGAGGAAGGAUUGGCUCAUUAAAAUAUUUAUUUUUUAAGGUCCCAUAAAACUUUGUAAAGCAGGUCAAAAAGAUGGAUCGUUGGAGGAGUGACCUACAUUGACAUCAGUAGCUAAGGUGGACAAGUCUUAUAGAGAGCAAGCUUACUUUACUAUUGCGGCUGCCGCUAAUUCGCUGCACUACCGAACGUUGCCGGCUUGAUCUAACGAAAAUUUCGCCGUAAUCAAAAUGCCCAACCAGAAGACCAUACAAAAUCCCUCGAUUGGCCUGGCGCUGACGCUGAGGAGUGACGAGAAACCGAAGCAGCAAAAGGCAGGAGCUAGGAAGAGAUCAGGGGGGGAGGGGGGGCCAUAUCGCCGUGCCGUCCCAGGCUCGCAGCUUUGCCCAAAGAAGAAAUCAGCGCGCGGGCGUGGGUGUGGCCGUGGAAUGUCGAGACUCGAGAGAGACUUGAGAGGGGAUGUGACCGGCGAUGGGACGAAUGCAAGUCAGAUCGCUCCCUAGUCCUCACUUUCAUGAUCUGCUCUGCUGCGGUUCCUGAAGGGCCCGCGGCAAUAGUAAAAAGGCAGUGAGCAGCCGCCAGCCGGCGACGACGGGUGCUACUGCGUGCUAGUGCUACUGUGCUACAGAAGCAGAGCCGCACGGCGCGAGCACGCCGCGGGGAAGAAGGCUCGCCGCGUCGCGCCGGUCCAUGUGCGUCCCACGGAGCGCGGCGGGGAGCUGGGGGACCGAGGCUUGCGCGGGCACCGGAGGGUGUUGCCGUGGCAGGCAGCGCAGGGCGCGAGGGAGACGCAGAGCCUGAUGCUUCCUUGUUCCCUCUUCAGCUGGCCUCUCGUUUUCUCGACGGGCCCUGCUGCCUCACUGUUUCUCCAGCUGCACGGACGGAUGGCUACUACCUCUACGGCCCUUGGCUAGUUGGCUUGCAAUCGUAAACGGAGAAAGCCAGCAUUCUGUUGUGUCUCAGCGCGAUAUUAGGGCCGCAUUUCGAACAUCGAUUUAUUUUCGUAAUCCACACAAAGAUUGAACUCAUCUCAUGGAGUUACUGAAAAAUUCACAUGUUCUCAGCAUUACCUUAACUGUACAUGUAAUGAUGCCAAUCUAUGUACCAAGAAGAGGUAUGUCAGUGACUAAGUGUGUGCUACUAAGCAGAAAUUACACUAAUCUUCAAAUUGGCGACUAAUUUUCCCCCUUUUUUUACAACCGUUAUCGCACAAGCUCGUCGUUCCCAUAUGUCUACCUUCUUUGAACCAUUAAGAAACUACUCGUACGGAGUACUCUAGAAAGUUCAAUAGACAUAUUCAGGACCAUAAUUACCGACAAAAUGGUGCCGCGACAAGUACCUUUUAGCAUAUGCGGUUACACGCUAUCUAACUUCGUCUGGAAGUCCGGAUCCCGGACAGCGACAGCUGAACAGGUUAGGUGAUGCACUGAAGCUAGCCGGGAAAGCACAAGACGCCCUUCCCGCGCGGCAAGGCCAUAAAGCCACUCACCUUACUGUACAGCGAGGCUUCUAGCAAUUUGCAACAGCAGCCCAACUACAUCUACCAUACUUUGCUUGGAGCCGACAAGGCGACAAGGUGAGUUAGUUAACACGAGGCAGUUCCAUCCGUCAAAAAGAAUGGGAUUAGACAUUAGUGGCCUCAAAGUACCAGGAUAAAGAUAAACUAAACUGCACUGGGGCAUGCAGUCAUGCACUAACUCCUUGUAGCAUCAGCCAGUGGAUCGUUCUGGCAAUGGGCGCCAGAUGAAAUGCACAAUGCUGCAUUGCUUUUGAAUCGGGUGAAUGAGAAGUAAGGCAAGAUAUUAUGAUAUACAGUGCCUAAAUAGAAAAGGCUACCAGCCAUAAAUACAAACGCUAAGCAAAAUGUAUCUAUAGAAUCGCUAAAAUGGAAGAAUUGCAUGAAUAAUCCUCACCAAUUUAAUUCCAAUGGAUAUACAGGUUUACCCUCCAAGAACUCUGUACAACUACCAGAACAAUGUAAGCUUCAACCAAUAUCUGGUGCAAUGGGAGCUCAGAAAAAGCCCACCUGAGUUGGUUGUCAGAUCAAAACGGCAAGAGGUUGAAAUCCUGAAAAUGAAAAAUAUGACACAGAGUUAGUAUGAGCUUAAAUCAUAUGUCGAAAAAGGGUACAGCGAUAGGGCAAAGUCAAUAGAUCAAAAACAUUAAUUUUAUAGAGGGUGCAAAUUGGCGCCCAAAGGGUGUCCAUCAACCCUCCACAGAAUGUCCUUGGCAGGUCAUUGUCCUUUUUAUCAGUAUGUCAUUCACAAGGUAGACUAUAUUCCUACUGGCCUGUAAAUUUGUAAUGCCAUAUUUUGUUCUGUUUUCCUGACAACUAAGUUAAUACCAUUUCUGUGAUUGUGUCAGGUGUUGCCAUGCCCCAGUGAAUGAGCAUGUCAAUGCAAGGAGAAUAAAAGCUGACUGUAAUAUGAAAAACAAAAUAGGAAUCACCUCAAGACAAUAUGACCAGUCCAAGAUAUAUCGACGCACAGAGAAAAAUAAAUGAAAUGAAGCCCCUGAAAGAAAGGACAGCUAAUGUUAGUGCAUGUGUCUUUACCAUCAGGAUUAUCUCAGUAUAAUAUCAUGGGAGAAAAAGAAACUAUUAAAAUUGCAGAGCAGACCAUAUAACACCCCAUGCAAAACCAUUGCAAGGGCAAGGGCAGAUUUCAGCAAACUUCUCAGCAUCACUUGAAUGAACUCUUCGGGAUAUCAAGUCAUCAUAAAUAUCUAGAUAAGUUGGGAACAUUUCAUUUAUAAGAACAGAUAGUAAAUCAUGGAUUGUUCUAACAUGUAAUAAAAAGGAAAAGUCUGUUUGUUCCUUACCAUAAACUGAAAAUAAGCUGUUCAUCACACCUGAUGGACAUUAAACAAACAUAGAACAUUAAAUUACAACCAUCUAAUUUGUGUUCCAGAAAGUAAAAUAAAGAGAAUAUGAUUGUAGGAAGUCUUCGCUCUCACCUAUGAAUAAGAUCACAUAUUUCAGAAUAUGGAAAGAUGUAAAUUCUUGUAUGACCCAAACAACAGCGAUGAAUACAACGAAUCCUGGAUAAUAACAUAGUAAGUAGCAUGCUGCAGAGUAAGGUCUUAAACGGAGAUGAAAUCAUGUUUAUUCAUACCAAUGCAGAGCCAGCGAAGAAACCACUGCACAAUUAAAAAAUGAGAUGAUAGCGCUUAAUUAAAUGAUCGAGAUUACUGUGUGGACAAGUAGGACAAGACAAAUGAAGAAAGUCAUAAUUUGCAACAAUGAAACAUAUUUUAGUGAACUUACAUUAUCUGCAACAAAAAGAACAAUAACCAAAGCAAGUAUGAAACAACCCGCUGCAAUUCUCGUAGUGAGGAGAUUUGUGGAUGCAAGUAUGAAGAUCAUUCCCCAAAAUGAUGAACCCAGAUCUGCAAUUCAAAACAAAACAGCAGCAUCAAAUAAGAGAAUAAAGGUGGAUUGGCCGAACAGGAGAACAUAAAAUUCAGAGGACCAAACAACAAAUCUACUCCAAACAGUUGGUUUAAUUUUAUAGUUGGAGGAUGCUAAAAGAAUGAAAGGUUACUGAAACAUAAAAAAUAACCUAGUCAAGUUUCAUAUAGAUUUACAGAUUAGACCCAUGAAAUAAAUUCAUCACAAACUUGCUUAUUGGAAAUUAGGUCUAACAUGUUUGAUAAAUUCAACAGUCCAGGUCCAGUACAUUAAAAUAUCAGAGAGAACACAAAAAUAUGAUGUUGAGUAAUAGAGAAUCAGCUAUUUCAUUUUUUGUUAGCAUUCUUGUGAGAAAUCAUAAGACAUGAACGUGAGGGAUGAGGGGGGAAAGGGAUUUACAUCCAGCGGGCAAGAUUAUCCAAUAUAUGCCACCCCGAGUUUGAGUAACGCCACCCUCAUUUGCAUGGACCUGCAUACCUUCGACCUGAAGAAGCCAAUGAAAUUGAAAUAUUUUUUGAACAAAUGGGCACAAGAAUCAAAUUGAAAUAUAACAUGAACCUAAUGAACAUUUGAGGCAUUAUCUUAUCUGGCAUCAACACUGAGUAGAUAUAAUGUCUAGAUCUGGUAGUUGGCAGAAGCUGGCCAAAAUAUUAUGUAUAAGCAAUGCAACAAAUGACCAACUCCAAAUUAGUCAAAAGACCACAUCCAGUAAAAAUAUCAUAAAGUAUAGAGCGAGAUAAGCAACUAAGAAAAUGUUUUGAAAUGUCUGGAACAUUUCUUACAAACAGGAUUGUCCUUAGAUACAAUCAGGGGUAUCCAAAAAUUGAACUGUUUAACACGGGGAGAAGCACUAAAUGUCCAACUCGAAGCACAUCAAAAGACUGUCUUUCGAAAGGUGGGCUGAAUUUAUCUUAAAACCAAAGUAUAAACUAAAGAUGGAAUGAAGGAAAAAACAAAGACAAGGAACUAUGGACCAACCAUACUAAAUAUGAAAUAAACAUCUAAGCAAUUGUUUGCUGCUCCUUUAUAAUCUUUAAUAAACCAAUGACAAAUCAACCCCAAUAGUUUCACAUUUGAUCAUGUGGUUGCCUUCCUAAUAGCAGACUUCAGAAGCAUGCAUUACUUCUCCUUUUACACCGCACAACGUACAGUAUGGUCUACUUUGGUCCCCAAGCAAAGAGUCAUUGGUUUGCAUUACCAGGCGGUUUGAGAGGGCUGCAACUUAACAAAAUGCUCAGGACUGCACAUUUUCAGAUAGUGGACAUUUGUUGACCAGAGCCCCUCACUUGAAUGCUGAAGAACAGUACAGCUGCAGCAAGAGCGGAGAGAUACUUGCGGAUAGCAGGAAAAAAAGGGACAGCAACUAAGUCCAGGACUCCAGGUCCUUGAUGAAAUCAAAUCCCUGCAUUUAGAAGAAUGAAAAGACGCAGGUAUAUUCUGCUCCCGUGAAAAGCAAAGCAAAAAAAAGCGCGCCCGCAAUAUGGACUUGGUCCUCACUGAUAAGGGAUGCUACUUUUCCCACCUACCAGCUCCAAAUGAUGGGCGAAACAUAAUCGCCCCCAUCUCGAGCCUAAUCGGACUUCGAUUGCAGCUACCACAAUCCCAUCGCAAAUUCGCAAUGCCACACCAUCACGGCGAGUUGAAAUUUUUUCCCCAAAGCGGGUGCUGCAACGCGCAGGAGUUUAUGGCUUACAUCGCCGCAGGUGAGCUUGCAGGCGAGCGCGUGGCUGGUCUCGUGGAGGAAGACGGUGAUGAGCUUGAACGGCGUGAGCAGGAACGUCCUCCACAGCUGCAAAAAAGAACCCGCUCAGACCACGGCGAGCCAAAACCCCAACUCCUCUCGGAGUCGUGAGAAGAGAAUCAAAGCAACCAGAGAGAGAAUCGGUGGAGGUGCCGGCGAUGGGGAGGAACUCACGAGGAGGAUGACGACGGUGGAGACGCCGACGGCGGCGAUGAAGAUCCUCUGGUCGCGGUCGCAGCAGCCCCGCAGCUCCCAGUUCACCGCCAUCCUCGCCCGCCGCCGCCGUAGAUCUGCCUCCGGCUCGAAUUCGGGGGAGGGGAGGGGAGAGGCAGGCAAAUAAGAGCAGCAACGAAUGGAAACUGCUCGGGGUCGGCUUGGCCGAACUGAAAACGUGCGGGGGCGCAGGAACCGAGACCGGGCGGCGCGGGGCGGGCGCGGGGGUGGGGUGGGGGGCGUGUCCGCGGCGCGUAUGGGCCGAGGAAAAUUUUGAUCGCUCCCGGCAGCCAGCCAGAGGAAGCCAGGUCGGAGCGAGCUGACGCUUGGAGGUUUGUGGGUAACGAGCGGGAGACCGGGUUACGUGGCCAUUAGCGGCGGUGGCGCAGCCAAUAAUUCCAGCUAAACUAAACAAAGCCAAGCAUGGAGACGACCAGUUCCGGACGGGGACUCGGGUCAUCGCGGUGACUUCGUGAGGGAGUGGGCGCGGUGGUUGGCCGGUUUGCUACUCCUUCUGCAACCGCGUUUCGGCGCUGGCUGGAUGGAGCGAGUCGGCGUUUUUUUCUCCCGGCGGCUCCUUUCACCUCGCCGAUCUCUUCUGUGUGGAAAUUGGAACUUUGUUUGACGUUUCUCAAGAUCGAUGAAGGAGCAGGUCGUACUCAAACCGCGUAGCCGUACGCUAGCGGAGCUCAGGAUUUGCGUGGCCUUAUUUAGCUUGGCUUAAUAAUGAUACGGCUCGUGAUUUUGUGUGGUACUCAAUCUCUGGCGUCACUAUCUUGGGCGUUCGCGUGUCGGGGCUCGCCGGAUCACGGUGUCCCGCAGAUGGGUUCGGUUGUCGUGUCAAGAUCUCGGUGGAUCGGUGACCACGAGCAUGAUAUACGGUGCCCUCAGCCCUCGAUCAAGUCCUUUCGCGGCUCUGCCUGCCUCCACGAGGUUUAGCAGUGCUAUUGCUGUCGCUACACUUGUAGCCGCGCGGCCGGCGAAAAGGAAGAGUGCUUUGGGACAAAGUGAUGGGCGACGCCAUGACUCCGCGUUCCCGGCCGUGUUUGACGUGUCUUUCCCUUCAGCGGGAAGGCUUUGCAACUAGCCAGUCUGUUCCUUUCAAGAUGCAUGGACGAUUUCGCUAGUAUAUAUCUUUUUUGUUUUUCCUCUUAUAAAAUGCUCAUUUUCUAUAUCAAGAACAAAUGAGCAAAUGCAUGAAUCGCCUUAUGCAGCUUUUUACUUCAUGGGCUCUGGGCCGGUGUAUUUGGGCCAAAUUGCGUACAAAAUGCAACGAACGGCUGGCUCACCACCGAACAAAUCGAGGGCCCGAUAAUACUGGGGGCUCCUUAAGCUUCGUCACUUUAAAGCCCACUAGGCUCAGUUAGGACUUUAUACCAAUAUUUCAACGAAUCAGGUUCAACAUUUUUUAAAAAUUAAAUCAACAUUUAAAAAUACUAGAUUCAACAUUUCUUGAAUAUAGAUCAAUAUUUUGUAAACAAAAUACUACAUUCAACAUUUCUAUAAGCAAAUGGAUUUCUUUUUUCCAUCGUCUUCUUCAACCUAGGGCACGGGCGACACGCGGGAAGGGGGGGGGGGGGGGGGGGGGGAAGGCUGACGCGCGGCGGCCAGCAAGAGUACGCGGCCUCCACGGUGGACGCAGGUGGCGGUGGCGUGCAGGAGUUGAAGGCGGCGGUGGGAGGGAGUUUCAAUGUGGAGGAAGAGGACUGCAUCCAACGGUUAGGGAGACUCUACACAAAUCUCAACCAGGGAAAAAAAAACUUCGGAAGCUGUAUAGAUUCCCGGAUAAUACUUGCUGUCGUGAUAACAGCCCGGUCCACUUUAUAGACGUCACGUGUCAUUCAGUUCAUAACAUGUUUGUCAAACAUUUGUUCGGACGGAAAAGAUUGCAAGGCUCUCUGCUAAAGAAAACCAAAGUUAAUGGAAGUCGCACAGUAUCAAGAGUAUUUUGGCAGGAUGGGUCGGAAGGCCAAGCCCCCACAGACUGAAGUUUCCUGAACUAUAUUUGAUAGAGACGGCAAAUCUGAACGAGUCCAUGCCUCCAUGGCAUUACACUGAUUACACGGUAUAAGAAAUAAAUGGCUGGAACACAUAUGGGCUCGUACACCGCGAUGCACCUAGCUAAAUGUCUCGGUGGAAGUGGAAUGAGUGAGGGGAGCUAGUUGGCUAUCAGCGGUCCGCCGCCAUGAUCCACUUUUAAAGGCUCCAAGAACAGCUCGCGAAUUUCCAUCUUUUUUCCCAUCAUCUGGUGCACUAAGACCAUCGCCACUUUGGUAGAUGCAGUGGAGAUGCGCGCCAUAUUCAAACAAGCAUUUGCCAAGGAAGGAGGGUACUGGCAGUUGUUGGAUACGUCCUAAUUAGGGGGUGUUUGGAUAAUAAGGGUUAAACUUUAGCCGUGUCACGUCGGAUGUUCGGAUUCUAAUUAGGAGGACUAAACAUGAGCUAAUUAUAAAACUAAUAGCAGAACCCUAGGCUAAAUCGCGAGACGAAUCUAUUAAGCCUAAUUAAUACAUCAUUAACAAAUGGUUACUGUAGCACCACAUUGUCAAAUCAUGGACUAAUUAGGCUUAAUAUAUUCGUCUCGCGAUUUAGCCUAGAAGUUGUACAAUUAGUUUUGUAAUUAGUCUAUGUUUAAUAAGAUUCCGUCUUCCAAACACCCCUAACUAUUUUCCAGGUCUCCGUGGUCAGGUCUCUCAUCGCUUUGCGAGCGUCACUCUCCAUGGCUCUGUUCUCAAACAUGUAAAUGGCUACAGAAGAUGGCGCAUCUCCUCUCCUCAAAUCUUCCUACAUUUCCGCGCAAGAAAGAAAUGUCAAGAAAUGGUUAAUGCCUAAUACUCUGGAUCUGACAAUUUACUGCAAGAAUAAACAGUGCUCUUACAGAAUGAGUCGUUGCAGAGGCGGAAUAUUUUGGAUACCAUCUGGACCAAUUUUGGAUAGCUUUCAAGUUGUUAGAUGGACUUUUGGGUGAUGCCUUCGUUGAUAAUGGGAAAAGCAUGGAGUGACAUUAGAGGUCCAGAGACCGACGCCCAUCCGUUUUCAUUCUUGGAGGGUCGGUUUGUAAUUACUGUAGUAGUGCCACUUUCCUUCCGAUAGGAACGCCUUGCAAAGGUCAUGCCACUGACAAAAUAAACAACUGGCGUGAGAUCCAAUGGUAAGUAAACCAUUGCAUUUUAUGAACUAAAAAUAAAACGGCUCUCUGUCGUAUUGUCUCAAUGGCAUCGGUGAAAAUUGACACACUGCAAGUUUAAGAUGCAAAGUUCAUUUCAAAUUAAAUGAACUUGCAGUGAUCACCGAUGUCUCGGUCAGAUUCACCGAUUCUGGCUGGCGCCCGUUGUUGUGUAUACUCACCGCUUUCUUAAGGAGAAACCGUACAUCACAUCCAUCUGUCCUUUGAACGUGCUCGGCGACCUCAUUUGAGAAGUUGAAGAUAGUGAGGUAGAUUGCAUUCAUAUACUCGGGUAGUUGUUCGCUUGCAGUGGCCUCCCAUCUGUACGUUGGAAAAAAAAUGUGACUAUGGUUCAGGCAGAAUAUGGUCUUGUUAAUAAUUUGUAUGACAUUAUCAUUUGAGAAACUAAAAGUUUAUUCUAGCGUAGAUUCCAUAUUUGGACAGCAUUUUUUGCUUAGGGUGUAAUUUAAAGGUCCUCACCCAAGUGGCACAGACAUGAUAGAGUUUAAGGAUAUAUGGUGAAAUUACCUAUUUUACCAACAGUAUUUGUUAUAGUAAACUCUUGUCACUCCAAGGAGGUGUGUUGCAAAUCUUACCUUUCAAUGACAUCGGUGAACAAUGCAAGUUCAUCUAACGUUCCAUAGAUAUCGUAGAUAUCAUCCAAGACAGCAAAUGCUUUAGCGACCACUUCUCGGCAUGCUGCAAGACAAGGUUCCGAAGCAACACCAUACACCAGUUGCAAAAUAGAAGCACUCCAUCAAACGAUCCCUCGCAAAUGGCAAAGUUUUGUUCAGAGCAGCAUUCCUCCACCAGCUGCAAUAUGGAAACAACAUAUUAAUCUUUGGCAAAAAAAAACAAGAAACAACAUAUUAGUGCAACAUGUAGGGUUUUGUGGAUCUAAUCAGUCUACCUCUAUUCCUCUGCCUUAUCCGUGGUGCCACUCACAAUGCAUUAUGAGGUUAGAGGGUGGGAAACUAUUUAUAGACUCUACUUCCAGGUGUUACAAAUAUUCCAUCUGUGUUCCAGAAAAAUCCGUAUGACUUCUAAACCAUGUCACCAACCACGAUCAGAUAGGUCAAUUUGGUGAGUCUAAAAUAUAUAUUAGUCCCUAGCACACAUGUGUGAGUGUACCAUGAUCAAUUGUGUAUAUGAGAUCAAUUCCAAUCUGAUCAUAUGGGUUAACAGUCUGCAGAGCCGAUCCUGCAAAACAAACCUAGCUCUUCCAUUGUGCUGUACCCGGACCAAACAUACACGUACAUGAGGAACAUUCCAGCUAGUAGAGUCGAUCUCAAUUAAUUCCUCUACUGUAUUCCAGCACAAACGUCCUCGACACCUCGAGUACCACUUCCUUGAAUUAAAUUUCGCAUCAAUUAUUCCCUGUCACAUGCAUCCGAAUAAUUCCACAUUAAAUUGAACAAUAAGCACAAUAUAAAGAAUAAUGUUGAAAGCCACGUAAAAACCCAACACAACAUGCGGUGUGUAAAUUAUUCUAGCAAAGUGAAGCUAUCCAUGAAGGAAGUAUUAUUUCUUCUAUCACCGUGUUAUCCUUGAAAGUUCUUGCUGUAUUUCUGCACAUUGUUGAAGUCAAGCUUGGAAAAAUGAAGCAUCACUUUAUCUGCUUCAACAUCUCCAGCAUACUGGUCGAUGAACCAUCUUGCUUGCAAUCUUGGAGCCGCCCAGUGCAGCGGGACGGCAAAAGCAUUAUCCACAGCGCUCCUUAGAUGAGGAUGCAUGGACGGCACGAGUUCUCUUAGAGCCUCUGUGGAAAAUACCCUUGUUAGGCGGGUAGUUCGCCGACCGCCGUGUUGGUGGCUCCGGCGGCGGCCCCCGGGCAACGAGGAGCACCUCACCGGCGUGUUCGCCACUCUCGGACGUGCAGGCGCCGGGCGAGGCCGCUGAACCUGAACCCAUUUGGGCGUCGCGCACGCAUUGCCGACAUACGCGUACAUUGUGUGUCACUGUGUGGUGGUGGUGUCGUCGUAGCCUCGUAGGUGCAGUGAACCGAGUGCGUAUUUAUAGGCGACGAGGAGUGCCCCUUCGUUUUUCUUUUGACGUGAUGCUAUUCGAGCUAAGUCCCGUCGGCCUUCAUUUUACUGCAGCAACUUGCAUUGGGUUAUUGUGUGAAUACCGAUACAUCUAUCCCCAUCCAUCUCCGAGAAAGUGGAGCUUGUUUGCUUCAAGUUGCCGAAGCAACAAUGUGAACUGGCUCCAUCACAGGAAUGACGACUGGGCUCUAUCGUCACCAUCGUGUGACCGUAUGCGGGCUAGCCGAGGUCGCAUAUGUUAAUCGAUGCAAGUAUGCGAUCCACUUGCUCUUACCUAAAGCAUAAGAGAUACCUUGUCGUCACCACCUGCCUUUCGCUGCCAGUCGCAGGCAGCAAUGCCAACAAUGCGUCGUUUCUGGAGUAGGACGGCCGCGCCACAACUUGCAAGACUCUCUGUCUUUACGCGAGCGAGUCUUUUCUUUUCCGGCUCUCUAGAUCCACCUGUAAUUUUUUUUUAGGGUCACUAGGGGGAGAUCCCCACCUGAAUUUCAUUAGGGCCUAUAGCAGGCCAAAAGUAUUGUACAAGGUUUUCAGCAGGUAAAAUUGGGAUAGGGGAAUUGUUUUACAACUUCUUGCUAAAGGAUUUACAUUGAAGUAAACAGGGCGCACCAGGCAUCAGUUACAGACUGCUCUUCCUAUUUGAAGUGUAGGCUCCAGAGCCUGACCUCAUCAUUGCAUCCAGAACUUGGGAAGAUUUAGCUGUUGGUGUUGGAAGACAAGGUCGUUUAGUUGUUACCACAGAAGCCAGUUGACGAGGAGCAAGAAGGCUGAGAAUCGGCCCAAAACUGGGUUAGAUUUAGAAAGCCCAAAACUGUCUCAAAAAGGCCCAACGUGACGGCCCGCUUGAUGUACAUUUAGCCCAGUCAGCCCAAAAUGGAAGGAUGGCCCACUUGCCGGACUGUUUUCAUUCUCCCAUCCUUUUUCCCCUCUAUAAUGGAAUGAUUUCCUUUUGUUUUUCAUUCACGGGAUUACAGUGCCACCUCGACACACAGCCACUGGGACAGUCUCUCCCCGUAUCUCAUUUGCUCAAUAUUGUCGUGACGAGGAGCUACGCGAAGCCACAGCCCACAUGCACAUGACCCUUCUCCUCUCUAUCCAUCUUUCCGAGCGAUAGAAACCCGCGCGGUAGCUGUCAGCGCUCCCCGUCGAUCCCGGCCAAGAGCCGCCACAGCGCAUGUCGCAAGUUGCGUUGCGCCUCGCUCCUCCGGGAGAGACGGGUUCUUUGUCCUGUGCGUCGAGAUUGCUUUGCUCGAGCGCCCCAGGGCCUCGGUCGCGUCGCACCAGCAGGCACGGAGGCACCUAUCCUAUUUCCGUGUUUGGCCCGGUGCACCCGUGCGUGGUGUCCUAGUGUGCCCAAAAUAUUCCUAGUUUCCCACCCUACAUCACACGUCUUAUCUCAUCAUGCAAUAACGUGCCAUAUGCGCACGCACCCACUAUGGUCAGAUGAGCAGCCCGAUCCGACUUGACACGAGCACGGUUUAGCCCAUUAAUAAAGACCGUGUCGUGCCGCGUGCCGGCCCCCGCGCCGAAGAAGAGGCUCAGGCACGGCAUGCUGCCUUCUUAGGCGGGCCGUGCUCGUACCAGCCCGCGCUCACGGUAUCAACCUAUACUUCUCAAAAAACAGAUUCACCAUAGCAAUUCAAAUUUCACAGGUUGAAAAUCAGAUAAACUAUUGUGCUAACCACAUCACAAUUCUCACAAGUCAUACAUGCACAUGCACAAUAACACAAACACGUCUGAAUUCAAAAGAGUUCAAUAUUAUUUUGAGCUGUUUGUUUUGCUGCCUCAUUAAAAAUCUCUGUAGGUAAAAACUCACACCUCGUGAGAAAACACUACAAAGAAAAAAAGAGUACAACCAGCUCUAUAAUUGUUUAGAUACAUCACAGUUGCAUUACAUUUAAUCAUCAAAAUACAAGUUCUCAAAUGAUUCUUCAAGUUAUGAAUCGUCCACGGUAUGUUGCAAUAUUGAAUCUCCUUGCUCCCAAUCCUUGAUCAAAGCCAGCAUCUCCACCAUCUCAGGUGCCAGACGAUGUCGCCGCUCCUCAAUGAUCCUGCCAGUGGAACUAAAUGCAGACUCUGAAGAUAUGGUAGAAACAGGCACAGUCCUAACAUCCCUAACUAAGAUAGAAAGAACAGGGUAUGAUAACUUAUGCUCAUGUCACUAGUGCAGUAUGUUGAAGGCAUCAUCAUACUGGUUGACAAUAUCACUGUCUAGGUAGGCUAGGUAGGCAAACAGUUCAGAUGCAGCAGCAAGAGAUGCACCAGUACUAGCAGCCUGCAACAAAACACUUGCAGAUAUUCUCCUAGAUAGGGAGGAGGAUGCAGAACCAGAACCCAAGCCAGCACCAAGGCUAGUAGCACCAUAACCAGAUGAAGUACCCUGAUUACCAAAAAUCUUACCUCAAGCGGUCUUUUUCUUACCUGUGUGGCCCUCUGCAACCUCACAGAACCAAACUUAGCAUCAUACUUGGAAAAGAUUGUAGACAAUUAAGCCCUUACUUCAAUUAAGUAACAAGGAUAAUCAUUUCCAUUGAGCUGAGACAAUAUCUGGAGAACAUUGCUAAAACCUUUCAUCUCAGCUCUAGGAUCUAAUAUACAUGUAAAGGAAUAAAGCAUAGGCAUAUCACACCAAUAAUCUAAGUACUUAGCCUUCAUGGGUGCAACAAUAUUUUUGAGAUCAUCAUCAUACUCAUAGGUACUAAGAUGUCUAGCUAUCUUAAGAACAUGAUGCAAUACUAAUGGAGCAGUAGGAUAAUAAACAUCAAACAAAACAACAGUAGAAUUAUAGAAUUGUUCAAGAAAUAACAGAAUCUUUUUAGCAACAUACCAGUGUAUUUCUAUCAGGAGUGGCUGGCCUUCAACCAAAGGGUGCUGAGUUUUUAUAAACACAGAAAAUGUGUUCUUAUGGGGCAUUAGAUACUUGAGCAUGAGAUAAGUUGAAUUCCAUCUUACAUCAAUGUUCAAAGCAAACUUACAAUGGUGGACACCAACAGCAAUGCAAUACGUUGGUUAGAAGAAUUUAAGAAUAAAAUUGCAGUUCUAAAUGCACUAAGUAUAUGCUUGAAAACAUCAAGGCCAGCCUUAACAAUAAGAUUAAUAAUGUGACAAGCACAACGCUGAUGCAAAAACAGUUUUCCAACAUAACCAGACAAUGAAGGACUGAGCUUACCAAUGGUUGCAGUGUUUGCCAAUGUAUUAUCCAACGUAACAGAAAAGAUCUUAUCAGUUAAACCAUAAUUAGAAACAACAGAAGUAAUACACUCAUUAAUAUUAUCAGCAUUAUGAGAUACAUCAAUUAAACUAAUUGAAGGCCUAAGAUCCUCUUCUCCAGUUGCCAAACAGCAUUCACAUAAUGAGCAACCGCACUAAGGUAAUCUUCCUUAGCAUUACCAGACUAUAUGUCAGAGGUAAGAGCAACAUAGGAAACAGAUUGCAAAGAAGCCACAAGAUUAGUACGACGCUCAUCGAAAUACUUAACAAAAUCUCUGGUGGUGGUUGGUGGUGGUUUGUCUUGACACAGAAGUAAAUCUAGGAUUAUAAGCAACCUGAAUAUACUCCUCUAAUGCAUCAAACUCACCAAAGCAUAAAGGAAGAUCUAGUCUUGCAAUCAACCUACACAACUGGGUAUGAGCAACAUCAACACUGUACUCCUAGAGAUGGAGAGAGCCAUCAGGAUUGUACUUGAGUUGGGACUGAGCCAUACGUGUAGCUCCUUGCAAGACUAGGUACCUUGGAAGGUGCCUAUGAAAGUGUCCAGUACCACUAGAGGAAAUACCAUAAUAGAGUUUCUUACAAUGGACGCACCUAGCACCAGUUCUUACCCUUUUGCCACUCUUUACCUUGUACAGUGUCUCAAAGUCGUCCCAUACCUUAGAGGUGCAUGAACGGCUCCUCUUGCUGCCCGUACUCUCCAUCCCCGUCCCCGUCUCACCUCCAACACUAGCAGCAGGCGGUUGCAAAUCUCCACCACCGGGCUGACCAUUGGCAUCGGGGACGGAGAUGUUGACCAGCUCACGUGGAUCCGCCUCCAAGUCAGACUCAUCAUCUCCGGUCUCCCCCAUCAACCUCAACUCGUCGUUGUAGCAUGUUGGAUAGUCUGCCAUCGUCGGCUCCCUGGCUUCUCAAUGGGUGUGCACCGAAGACCUGCAGAAGUCACAUAAAGGAGUAGAGAAGCACGUCAGCACAGUAGAGGAGAAGCAUAGAAGUACCGGAGCACGGUAGAGAAGAAGCAGAGAAGCACCGGAGUUUGGCUUACCUCGUCCUCGAGCGUACCCGGAGCACCGGAGUCGCCGUCUAUGUCGUCUAUCCACCCACCAGAGAAGCACCGGAGCACGGUAGAGGAGAAGCAGAGAAGCACCGAAGUUUGGCUUACCUCUUCCUCGUGCGCACUCGGAGCACCGGAGACUGAGAGAAAGAAGAAACAGUGUAGAGCCGACUCACCGAGAGGGAAGAGGCAGUAGAUCUGCGAGGAGAGGAGCGGAGUCAACGAGGGAGGCGGCGGAUCUGCGAGGAGAGGAGAGGAGUCGAUGAGGGUGGCGACGUAGAGCCGACUCACCGAGAGGGAAGAGGCGGCGGAUCUACGAGGGGAGGAGCGAAUUCAACGAGGGAGGCGGAGAGGCGAUACGGCGGCGGGCGAGGGAGGCGGCGGAUCAGCAAGGGACGAGGGGAGGAGUCGAUGAGGAAGGCGGAGGGGCGAUACGGUAGCAGGCGAGGGAGGUGGCAGAUCGGCAAGGGGAGGAGCGGAGUCGACAAGGGAGGCAGAGAGGUGAAAUGGAGGUGGGCGAGAGAGGCGGAGGGGCGAGCCGGCGGCGGGCGAGGGAGGCGGCGGAUCUGCGAGAGGGAGGAAGUAAGGAGCGGAGUCGAGAAGGAACAGAGGGAGACGGAGGGGCGAAGAAGCAGGGGAGGCGACGGAAUGAAGGUAAGAUUUAGGGGUGCAGGGUGUGCCCACCGGGCAAUAUAUAUAUGCCCACGGCGGUGGCCGAACGGACCUUAGUAGGUCGAGCCACCCGCUUAAUUGUGACGGGCCAAAUUGGCCGUUCCAGCACGUGGGAUGAGAGAGUGAUCCAGACACAGCCUGUGGUAUGGGCCGGGCACGACACCGUCGUGCCGUGCGUGGACCAGAUCAAAAUCCCGUGCCUUGGACCGGUUUCUUGGCCGGCUCACCAGCUCACGUGCCACGGGUCAUAUCACCAACUCUAACACACCUCCCGUCAGAGGCGCAUCUCCUGCCGUUCGCGUCGUCUUCCUACGUCCUGUGCUCAUCUCACGAUUACGUGAAUCGUCGCAACCAAUUCCCCUGCUGAUACUGUGGGCCUCUUUGUCGCAUCUAAUUCAGCUACUGCGUGUGGCCUUUUGGUUGUUGUGUCCAAGUUCAGAUUACUACUUAAUCAUCUCCUCUCCAUCAUCGCCAUGGUGCGUUUCCCACGCAACUGGUUGAUCGAUCUCGUCAGAACAAGCAACCUCAAAUUCACGAAUUGCUUGCAAGAUACCUCCAGCAAGAACGAAAUUUCGUCUACUCCCCGUUCCAAAUUGGACUUUGUUUUGACUUUUUAACGAUUCAAAAAGAACAUUUAAAACGGAGGGUUUCAAAUUGUACUUCGUUUUGACUUUUUAACGAUUCAAAAAGAACAAUUUGAAACGGAGGGUGUACGUUUAACGGGGAUAAGAUGAACAAUAUGGUAUAUGUGAGCGCGAUAGUACGCCAACGACGGAUGCGUACGUACAGCACUCGUACAGAAUCGAAAGAAGACAGAUUACUGCACAUGAUAGCUUCCCCUGCUUACCCCUGUACACUAGCACCCCAGCCCGCAGUAGGCGAUCGAUGCUCCAGCGGAUCACCAUAGCAGCCGACCACCCUAUUAUUGCCUAAGUAGUACAGUAACAAAUAAAUCCGAACGAACUAAAUAAGCGCCGUAAUUAAGCAAAGCCUGCAGUUUUGAUUAAUUAAUUAGCUUGCUAGGAAUUGCUCGUUGCGCUUCUCUUCUCCGACAUCCACUGCUUGUACUGGUCGAAGAACUCCUUAUUCUCCUUCUCCAGCUCCUUCCACACUGCAAUUGUUCAAUCCAUCAGAAUUCCAGACGGCGGCGAGGACGAAAAGAAAGAAAGGGUUUCGGCGAAUGGUCGGACCUGUGGAGGUGACGACGGGCUGGACGUCGGCGCGCUUGGCCAGCGCCUCCAUGCACUCCUCCAUGCUCAUCCCGAACGUCAUGCACCGCUCUAUCAGGUGCUGCACCUGCGAUAACCACGUCGCCGGCGACCACCGUAAUUAGUUCGUUCCGAGCUCCGAGCAUGGAGAAACGAGAGUGCAAUAGAGACAUGGGAGGGAGAAACAUGGUCAGUUACCGUGUGGAUGUAAGAGGCAGGAUUGGAGUUGUCUCCCAAGGCCAUGGAUCCUUUUGGUUCAAGCUACACUAGCCAGCUAGUGGCCUGUUGACCUUUCUCCCUUUCGUCUUCCUCCCGGAGCAGUUGGCUACUUGGCUCAGCAAGCUAGUCUAUGGCUGCCCGCAAUCUGCCUCUGCGUGUGACGAUAAGGCGUGCAUUGUCGACAGGGGAGGAUCCUAUAUAUACAUGCGCCACGGAUGAGGACACCGCCACCCGCCCGCCGCCUCGCUGGGACGAGUCCACGGCUCCUCCCGCGACGCCAGCGAGCCGGCGUCACGGGGCCGUCCCGUGGACCGGGCGCACGGAGGAGGCCGCCGGAAAAGCGGGGCGGGGCGUUCACGUGGGCGCGGGGCUGCGAUUGGCGGAACGGAGAUUGGAAAGCGACGUGUGGGCCGCGAGCAAAUAUCUUCUCUCCCGGCCCGUGGUCUAUGCCGGCGGGCCCCCCGGUGCGGGAGCCGCCAGGUGGACAUGCACCUCGCGCCUUCACGUGCCAUCUGGCCCCGCCGGCCGGCCACGUUGCGACUUCUCGGCCCGGCUCGGCACCGGCUCCAGGAUCCUCUCUGAUGGGCGAACUUGUGAUAAGCGCUAUCAACCAAAACACUGCUUAGUUUAGCGUUAUCGUCUUCUCAUUACGGAAGAGGACCCUUCUUGCCUUUGCCUUGACCAGACGGCUCGCGGCCGCGACUCCUCGGCACAGCACACACGGCGCGGCGGCGCAACGGAUCCCGGUGCGGCUACUGUGUGCCACGGGACCUGCAAGUGGCCGAGCGGACAAAAGGGCGGCGUGGGGCCCGACGCGUAGCCCGGGUAGCUGUCUACAUGGCGGAGCACCUGUCGCGCAUGCACGGCGCCUACGCAGCAUGUCUGAUCUUCUAUCCCUAUCGUCAUCAUCCCCCCUUCCUGGAUCCGGAAGGGGGCGUCGCGGUCUUUGCUCCUCGAGACAGAAAGCUGCGACGGUCCUACAGCUCCGGGCCGCAGAGGAGCCGGGAGCGGAGCAGCGACGUGCGGAAGUCGGAGCCCGUUCCCCAACAGCAGGAUUGGUCGAGCCGCGCCGUGCACAGGGCCGUGCAGCACCGUGCACGCACGCUGCUGUGCCUGCUCCCAUGCCUGGUGUGACUGUCUACGACGCGCGAGAGAGGAGGAUGCUAGCCCUUGCGGCCUUGCGCGCUGGAAGGUUGGAACCAUGCGGCGCGGCCACGGCAGUAUCGCACGACGUACGGCUCGACCGCCUUGACGAUUCAAAGAGAACGGCACGCUUGCUUCACCAUCAUGGUUCAUGGCAUGUCGGCUUCAUGGGCCUGUCGUCUCCUUCAAUCUGAUGAAAAGAUCUGCUGGGCCUCACGAGCCUUGUUGAGGAAGGCAGGAAGGAUAAGGAAGAAGCGAGCCCAAAUGCCUGAGAAACUUCAGCCCGGUUACUAAUUUGCUUAAGCCAGGCUAGUAAGCAAUAAAGCACAGGUUAGGAUCCGGAUUAUAAUAUAUUUAAACUAGAAUACACAUAGUACACCUAUCCAGUAUUUUAGGUUGGGAUUUGUUUCGAAUAUACGAGUUCAGCAGGAAUUUGGCAGUAAUACAUCAUAAAAACAAAUCAAUUAAAUGGUUUUUUGCAUGCCCCCCUGAUCGGUAAUACUGACGCUUCCAAGUUCCAACCACGCCGGUCGUAUUUCCGGCCGGAGGGAAUGUAAGACUCGACAUAUUUGCAACUGUAAACACAAAGACACGUGCUCCUGUCAAGCUUCGAGGAGAAGCAAAAGCUAAUUCUAUUUCGAAGAAAAGCUGAAAGCACCUGAUUCUCCGGUCAGUGUGGAACUAAACCUACCAUCGCAGCCGCAGCUUUGAAUAAUGGAAGAACGAAUUGCCAUGUGGCAAUUCUAUGGAGAACCACAGGUUGCAACGACGGGUAAUUGUUGGGCACACAGAUGGGCAGACGCGCCGCACACCAUCGCGUACUAGUACUACGCAGGUUGGUGGUGAGAUUAGGAUUAGGAGCAAAGCUUCCAGAAGUAUGGUCCAAAUCGGGGUCUUAGAAUCUAGGGGGUGUGGGGGGCACCUAACGGUGGAAUUAUCGCUCGUUCCCGGGCGGCGCUGCCUGGGUCGUCAAUGACCGUUGCUAUCAGGGGCUCCUCGCGGUCAACUAGGCGACAGCGUGGAGGACGAAUAAUUCUACGGCUACCCAACCCAGCUCGUCAUAUACGGUAGGCUUUUAGCAUUUCGCAGGUACUAGUGCCGGCACUGACACCAGCCGGCGUGUGUUAGAUGUAGAAUGAUGCUAUUGGUAGAACCAUAUGUAUCACGUUAGUACUAUUGUAUGGUGGUAUCUAUUUUAGACGAUCGUGGUUAUCUAUGUGUAAACAUAUGUUAAAUCCGUUAUGUAUAAAGAAAUAUGAAAUAAUUCAAUAGUAUGAAACAAACAAAGAGCAAAGUCACCAUUUAAUUUGGAUUAAAAAUACCCCUCAUUUCAAAAUCACAUUUUAAGGUCAUGUAUCGAUCAAACUCUCUACAAUAUUUGAAGACCUACUCUAUGAGAUUUCAUUUUCAACUUUGGUAUCUCCUUUAGACAGCUGUUUCACCCUCAAGGCUAGUUCAAUCAACCCAUUAGGCGUGCGCUUCUCGAUCAACCAAAGGACCAGCCUCCUCGAUGACCUUAGGGACCCAAGCCCUUGGCCUUGACACCACCUCAACCUCUGUGGCACCAUGUAGUUAUAGGCCUGCACUUAACAAGAUAAAGUUAAUAUAGAUGGAUAUUGUUACUACUUAGCGGACUAUUUUGACUCUUGGUUAAUUAUUGGGUCACUUGUACAAGGAUGGGCCAAUGGCCUAUAAAUACCUCCAUGUUAAUGUAAAAAUUUAGUCACAAUGCAAUACAUAUUCUAUCAAAAGAUGAUCCUCCAAGGCUCCCUCGUUAUAGAUAUUUUGGGACUCGUCGAUUAGAUACAGGGUGUCUCAUGGCCUUGAAGGCUUGAACCAACUAGACCUUUUUGUUUCACUUUGACUGUUAGAUACAAGCUCAUGAAACAAACAAACAAACCCCCGCUUGUGUGUAUGUGGCUUCAUAACGCGUCUUGACCCGAGUAUUAACCACAAGCUAAAUGCAAGUACUUUGUUUGUUUUCAACAAUAUGAGCUUUAUACGCGUCUUUUGUUUAAAGAUAUGGAGCAAUGAGCUAGUAAAAUGACCGUAGGAAUUGCUCUUAUACAUUCGAAAAGAGUAUCAAUACUCUUACCUUUUCAUUUACAAGCACGCACAACACUUGAUUAUAAGAAUCUCAAUCAAACAUCAUGGACGCUAAUGCUAGUCAUUUUGAAAGCAGAAUAAAAUUCCGUGUAACAGUAGAAUUACAAGCGGCUUUACCCGCGACCCAUGUAUAGUUCAGCCCACUUUCAUUAUUCCUAAAGACGAUGAAUAGACAAUGAAUUAACAAGUGUAAAGAUCCUCAAACUACAACUAUAACGGUGAAGUGUUUUGUUGGAAUGUGACAUAAAGGGCGCGUUUGGAACUUUGACCAUGCUUGCCUCGCCUGGUUGGGCAAGGAGAGCGAGUGGCGAUGAGUGCUCGAGGGGUGUUUGGUUGCCUAUGUUUAAUUUUAGCACCUAUUACAUCAAAUAUUUAGAUACUAAUUAGGAGUAUUAAACGUAGACUAUUUACAAAACCUAUUACACAGAUGGAGGCUAAACGGCGAGAUGAAUCUAUUAAGCUUAAUUAAACCAUCAUUAGCAAAUGUUUACUGUAGCAACACAUUGUCAAAUCAUGAACUAAUUAGGCUUAAUAGAUUCGUCUCGCCGUUUAGCCUCCACUUAUGUAAUAGAUUUUGUAAAUAAUCUACAUUUAAUACUCCUGAUUAGGGGGUGUUUGGAUCUUUAGUCCUGACUAAAAUAUAUGUCACAUCGAAUAUUCGGAGGCUAAUUAGGAGGACUAAACAUGAGCUAAUUAUAUAGAUAGAGGCUAAUUCACGAGACGAAUCUAUUAAGCCUAAUUAAUCCAUCAUUAGCACAUGUUUACUGUAGCAUCACAUUGUCAAAUCAUGGACUAAUUAGGCUUAAUAGAUUCGUCUCGCAAAUUAGUCUCCAUCUGUGCAAUUGGUUUUGUAAUUAGCCUAUAUUUAAUACUCCUAAUUAGUAUCUAAACAUUCGAUGUGACAUGAAUUUUAGGAGGUGCUAAAGAAACAAACAACCCCUUAGUAUCUAAACAUUCGAUGCGAUGGGUAAAAAAAAUAAGCAAAAGUAACCAAACGAUCCCUGAUUACUUGCUGCAUGUAUCGGUAUCCGUGAAAGCAAGCUUUUUUCAUGCUUGCCCGGGCAAGCUGAAUCAGCUCUCCUUGCCAGGACCUUGCUCUGCGAGGCGAAGCUAGGCGACCCGGCAAUAAAACCAAACAUGACCAAAAUUCACAUGAUCACAUCACCACAUGCUUAUACGAAGUACGUCUGGAUACAUGUAUUUUAAGCCUGUUUGGAUCCAAGGACUAAAUUUUAGUCUUGCACUUUUAGAUUAAAAUUUAGCUCUUAGGAUCCAAACAGGAGGGCAAAAAGUGACAAAUAGCUAAACUUUGGACUAAAAAAAUUAGCUCCUCAAGAGGCCCUAAAAGGGGCUAAAAGGGACUAAAAGUGGUCCUCCCGAACCACUUUCCUCCCCUUGCCCCCGCUCUCUCUCUCUCUCCCGCAUGCUCUGCCGGUCUCGCCUCCUUCACUCGCCGCCGCCGCUGUCUCCGCCUCGCCUCGCUGGCCUCGACACCUCCGCCUCGUCUCGCCUCGCUGGCUCUGCUGUCUCCGCUCGACCCCUCGGCGCCGUUACCUCCUCCUCCGCCUCGCCCUUGUCGCCGGCCACCUCCUCCUCCACCUCCUCUUCCGCCUUCACCUCGCCCCUGCCGCCACCUCCGCCUCCGCCUCGACCCCGCCGCCGCCGGCCUCGAUGCCGCCGGCCGCUGGAUCUGGGGUCCGCGGCCGUCGGCGGGGAGGAGAGGGCCGCAGCCGUCGGCAGGAGAGAGGAUGACAAGGAAGGCGUCGAGGUCGUGGCGGGAGCGGACGGUGGCGGCCUCGAGGUCGUAGAGCGGGAGGAGGCGGACAACCUCCUCGCUCCCGGCCUUCGCGGCGACCCAGCGACGGGAGAGGAGAGAGAGGGGGGAAAGGAGGAGGAGGGAGUCAUUAAUAAGGGCAAAUCAACCAUUGUUUGAUGAGGGACUAAAAUUUAGCCUAUGGAUCCAAACACCCCAGCAAAACUAAAUUUUAGGGGCUAAAAUUUAGAAGCUAAAGUUGAACUCAUGAACUAGUGAUCCAAACACCACCUUUGUCGAUGUUUAGCCGGGCAUCACUGAUAACUUGUCCUUUUGUAUCAAACAUCCUCUCAUGUCAUAAUCGGGAACAGCACAAUGAAUGAGUGUACUGCUAUUUUCAAAAGCUAGCUGCCAGAGGUCACCUCCACAUGAACCAACCACACGUCGCCUCCAAUUCCGUGUGUCCCUAGCAGCGCAGGAAAGCUACACAACACAGCUCAUGCCACCAGGCGCCGGCGGGCCCCGCCAUCUUCGAUGCCCACGAGACCUUUCCGCACCAAUCCCGCCCGUCUAAUUCCAACGCCCCGCGAAAAAUUUUCCACACGCCACACGGAAAACACGUAACUCCCCCCACUCUCUCGCUGCCAACGCUGGCCCACGGAGCCCUACGCGCCUCCAGCCCAGAUCACUCUGCCACCGCCAAGCGGGCCCCUCGCCACUCACGCCAACCCGCUUUACACCAAACCCCAGGCAGUAAGGGCCACCGCCAGGUGGGCCCCGCCCAUCACACCGCAAUCACAAGCACAGGUCCCCCUUCUCCCUCACCUUUCCUACCCGCACGCCAGAAGAGAAGAAGGAACUCACCACUGCGCGCAACCAUCCCACCGCCGCGCCACGCGUCUUCGCCGGCGACGAGCAGCCGCCAGCCGCUCGCCGCCGACGAGCUCCGCUGUGGCGUGGCGUACUCGUGUGUGAGUAAGCCGCCGAAUUUCUCUGACUGGGUCGUCGUUGCCGUGUGCCGCCGAGAAGAGAGUUUUUAAAAGGGGGCUCUCCUUUGCGGCACUGGCCAGUCCUCUCGGAGGUUAGUUUAUUCGGAGGCGGCUUGAGGCUCGCUUCGGAAGCGACCCGGUCGCCGCCGCCGCCCGUCGUCGCCGUCUCGGGGCUAGCCGCGGUGAUGAGCUUCGCCGGAUCCUAGGGUUUUUGAAUUUGACGGCUUCGUCGAGCUGCGCAAGGCUUCGAGGUGGAGAUGGUGCCGACGGGGCUGUUCGGGUGGGCGUCGCCGCACGUGCAGCCGCUCACGCCCGUGUCCGAGGUCUCCGAGCCGCCUGAGUCGCCGUCGCCGUACGGGGACGGGCCGGCGGGGGAUGCGGGCGUGGGGGCGAGGGAGGGGGAAGCCGCCGGCGCCGGCGAGGAGGAGGUGGAGGAAGAUGAGGUCGAGCCGCCGCCCGCGGCCGUGUCGUUCUGGAGGCUUUUCGAGUUCGCCGAUGGGUUCGACUGGGCCCUCAUGGCUGCCGGGGCGCUCGCUGCUGCUGCCCAUGGCGCGGCGCUCGUUGUGUACCUGCACUACUUCGGGAGGGCCCUGAAUUUGCUCGACUCUGAGCGGGUUGAGUCGGCUCUCUAUGGACACAGUGAUGAGCUGCUCCACCGGUUUAAGGAGGUAAAGCUGAUGCUUCUGAUGCAUUCCCACUUAGUUGCUACAUUUUCAAUUUAGAUUGUAGGAUGCUUGAAGUAUUUAAAUUUUCGUGGCAGAUUGGCUUUUCUGUUGUAAUGACAUUCUCAGAAGAUAAUUCAAAUUUUGCUAUUGACUACAACUAUGAUGAUGGUGAUUAGCUACAGUUAGUUCUUGUACUUUUGAGGCAUGGCAAUUCUAAGAACGAAAGUAGGAUACACUGCUGCUUGUGCUUAUGUUUCGAGUGGGUACUUUUAGGUUUCAUUUGAAAUAUUAGGGCCUGAAAGGUUAUUAGUUGCACAGGUUUGCUGCACUGCAUAGUGCGGUUAUGUUUAUAACGCAAGCUCCAUAAAGAAAUUCCAUUCCUAGGCACGUUUGACUUAAAUGUGAUCUGGAACCUUAGUAUAUCACUUCAAAUCAGUGCAUUUUUCCCCUUUCCCUGAUGCGAACUUUCCAAAGGGAUUGUACAUUGGAAUUUGUGGUUUGGGUGCGGUUGGUGUUGCCUUGGCUGAAAGUUUGUGCCUUCGGGGCCAUUGCAGCUGGGAGCCUAGGAUGGCACACUAUGGGAUUGUUUAUGUGGUGCAGCAGAGAUUUUAGGAGAAAUGUAGCCAUGAUUCAGAUGUUAGUGGCAUUUAUAGAUCUUAUCAUUGAAAAAUUCUAUGUUGAGGUUAGUUCAGGAGUGUCUCAAUGUUCUCAAAGAUGCCAGGUCUAAAGGCGCCUACUGUUGUUAUCUCUGUUUUGCUUUGUUAACACAUUAGGGAAAGGGUUGCGGAUAUGUCAUGGCCGGUCAUUAUUAUCGUAUCCAUAGUGUAAUUGAAGUGUUAUUAAAAGAGUCUUUUGUACUCUAUUAAUUUAAUUUCUGAAAGGUUGCCCAAAAUAUCCUGUAGGCCUUUAGUUAUAACCAAAUUUUAUUGCAAACAAGGAAGUGAGGCAACCAAGUGAAGGUUUCACUUGACGUAUAUGCUCUUUUCAUAGCUGGUGUAGGUGGAGAUAAAGUUUUGUGGAUGUGAGAGCCUCAUAUGUGAUAAGUGGAACUGAAAUAAAAUCCGGGGUUGACGGGAUUCAUUACCUCGGGGGAUCCCCAAGGUUGCCCUUGGAUACUAGAGUCAUCCUUAGGAUGGAGUGAAGGUUCAUUGUUUUUAUUUUCUGGAAUGGUCUACAUUAAACUCUGAAGCUAGCUCAUAAUGGCUGCUAUCUGAACACUACCAAGGAGGCAACCCCCCAUAUUUAGUUUGUUAAAUGAUGUGCAUUGUACUUGGUCUUGCCCCCAUAUUUAGUUUGUUAAAUGGCUAUCCAUUUAUACUUUCAAUAUAUUCCAAUGCUUUUUUUAGUAGUUCCAUUCUGCUUGCACCCAAAAUUUUGACUUUUAAGAGAUUAUUAUAUAAACUUCUAAUACCCCCUUUCCCUUGAAACGGGUGACUUUGCAUGUUUCUUUUCUCACCUCUCUUCCACUUUUCCUUAUUCUCAAUUCCAUAUAUCUUUGCCUCUUACAACUGUUACAUCUACGUGUUGCAGCAUGCUUUGUAUAUCGUCUAUAUAGCUGCUGGUGUUUUUGUUGCAGGAUGGAUCGGUAAGUAACUCAUUAUCUUUUAAAGUGCAGCUCCCACUCAGCACAAACACAUAUUCCUGAUUAUUUCAGUUCUGCAGAGGUAUCAUGCUGGAUUCUCACGGGGGAACGGCAGACUGCUGUCAUCAGAUCAAAAUAUGUUCAGGUCUUGCUAAAUCAAGACAUGAGCUUCUUUGAUACAUAUGGAAAUAAUGGUGAUAUUGUGAGUCAAGUGCUCAGUGAUGUAUUGCUCAUUCAGUCAGCUAUAAGCGAGAAAGUAAGCUUAGAGAGUGAAGCACUCAUUAGUUUCUCUGGCAUUAUGAUCUGCAGAAUGAACUCCGUCACUUUUGGUGUCUUCUAAUGACAGUUCUUUUGUAGGUCGGGAACUACAUACACAAUAUGGCUACAUUUGUUGGUGGUCUCAUUGUUGGCCUUCUCAAUUGUUGGCAAAUAGCACUUCUAACUCUUGCCACUGGACCCUUAAUUGUUGCGGCAGGAGGAAUAUCCAACAUAUUCCUCCAUAGAUUGGCUGAAAACAUUCAAGAUGCAUAUGCCGAAGCAGCUAGCAUUGCUGAACAGGUUGCUACCUUUAUUCAAUCUGCCAAUCUUUCUUCUGAUUUCUUUUACUAUACACAAACCUAAGCUGCUGUCUGCACAUCUCCUAUCUUGAGCCUGUAUACCGGAGGGCUGCUAUUAUGCACUCUGAUUUUGUAGACAAUACAAUCAUUCUGGUUUGAUGUGCUAUUAGUAUUUAGUAACUAAAAUAAUUUGGUUGGUUCUAAUGGAAAUAUGUGCACCAGGCCAUCUCAUACAUCAGGACACUGUAUUCUUUUACAAAUGAAACUCUUGCAAAGUACUCCUAUGCUACCUCGCUUCAAGCCACACUGAGAUAUGGAAUUUUGAUAAGUCUUGUCCAAGGAAUCGGCCUUGGAUUUACAUAUGGACUUGCCAUUUGCUCCUGUGCAUUGCAACUUUGGGUCGGAAGACAUUUGAUUGUUCGUGGAAAAGCUGAUGGUGGUGAAGUUGUGGUAGCUUUAUUCUCUGUCAUUCUGAGCGGCCUGUAAGCAACUUAAUUAUACGGUUUUUUGCCCCAUUUUAUUGCCGUGUAUUGCCUUAACUAAGUUUAUUUUUAAUUUCGUAGUGGUUUGAAUCAAGCAGCUACAAACUUCUAUUCCUUUGAGCAAGGGCGCAUUGCUGCUUAUAGACUAUAUGAGAUGAUUAGCCGUUCAACUUCCAGCGUUAAUCAAGAAGGGAUCACAUUACCCCAAGUUCAGGGGAACAUUGAAUUUAGAAAUGUGUAUUUCAGCUACCUGUCUCGUCCUGAAAUUCCAAUUUUAAGUGGUUUCUUCCUCACUGUGCCUGCGAGAAAAACUGUUGCACUUGUUGGUAGAAAUGGUUCAGGGAAAAGCAGUAUAAUUCCUCUAAUGGAGAGAUUCUAUGACCCAACAUUAGGUAAGAGCACUGAGAAGCAUCUUUCAUUUUCUGCUUCCACCUCCAUCUAAAAGGCUACUCUAUUUUAAUGUUUUCAGGUGAAGUUCUUUUGGAUGGGGAAAACAUAAAAAAUUUGAAAGUGGAAUGGUUAAGAAGCCAAAUUGGUCUGGUGACACAAGAACCAGCUUUACUGAGUUUGAGCAUUCGGGAAAAUAUUGCUUAUGGAAGAUCUGCUACCUUUGAUCAGAUAGAAGAGGCAACGAAGACAGCCCAUGCCCAUGGGUUCAUCAGUUCACUUGAAAAGGGGUAUGAAACCCAGGUAACGGAAGUACGAUACAUCUUAUUAUUGUAUAUCCAGGUUAGGCUGGUCAGACACUGAGGCUGUAGUACUCGCUUUUGCAAAUUCUGCAGGUUGGUCGUGCUGGUAUUGCACUGACUGAUGAACAGAAGAUCAAAAUUUCUAUUGCCCGUGCUGUGCUUUCGAAUCCAUCCAUUCUCUUGCUUGAUGAGGUCACAGGAGGACUUGAUUUUGAAGCUGAAAAGGCUGUCCAAGAAGCAUUAGAUGUUCUCAUGUUGGGAAGGUCAACCAUUAUAAUUGCUAGACGUCUUAGCCUCAUUAAAAAUGCCGAUUACAUAGCUGUAAUGGAGGAGGGGCAUCUUGUUGAAAUGGGUACACAUGAUGAAUUGCUGAACUUGGAUGGCCUUUAUGCCGAGCUUUUAAGGUGUGAGGAAGCAACAAAACUUCCCAAAAGGUAAGCCUUUUCUUCUUAGACUAUAUCCAACAUGUGGUCUAAGUGUACCUGAAGUAUUAUAGUUGUGGAUACUAAAGAUUUUGUAAAUCCUAGAUUGUUGUUAGCUACAGCAUCAUUUACAAUGCUACUGUUCUAAAGAGAGAUUGUUUAAGCUUUCGUGUUUAAUUCAUCACUGUGCAUUAUGUUCCAUCAGCUGCAAAAGAGCACAAUUUUGAUUUGGACUGCCUUAUUAAUCCUAUCUUGAUCCAUGUCAGGAUGCCCACCAAGAAUAGCAGGGAGCGCAAGUCACUCCAAAUUGAGGACGCAUCAGUGAGCCAAUACUUUCAAGAAUCAUCCUCUCCUAAGAUGACAAAAUCACCUUCACUUCAAAAAACACAUGGCAUGCUUCAAUUUUGGCGUUCAGAUACCAACAGGAACUCUCAUGAUUCACCAAAGGAUCGAAGUCCACCUUCAGAGCAAACUGUAGACAAUGGGAUACCUAUGGUUGCAACUGAAACUGAAAGAACACCGUCCAUCAAGAGACAGGACAGUUUUGAAAUGAAAUUGCCUGAUCUUCCGAAAGUUGAUGUUCAUCCUAUACAGCGUCAGUCAUCUAAGAAUUCAGAACCUGACUCACCCAUAUCUCCUCUUUUGACUUCUGAUCCUAAGAAUGAGCGUUCACAUUCACAAACUUUUAGCAGACCACAGAGUGAACGAGAUGAUACGAGUUCUGAACAUAGUGAACUAGAUGAGGUUCAGCACCAGAAACCUCCAUCUUUUUGGCGACUUGCAACACUUAGUAUUGCUGAAUGGCCUUAUGCUCUUUUAGGUACAAUUGGUGCUGCUAUAUUUGGUUCAUUUAACCCACUGCUUGCUUACACUAUAGCGCUUAUAGUGUCAGCAUACUAUCGAAUAGAAGUUCAUGAUAUGCACCACGAAGUGAACAGGUGGUGUUUAUUCAUAGUAGGAAUGGGUGUUAUUACAGUGCUGGUCAACUGGUUGCAACAUUUCUAUUUUGGAAUAAUGGGGGAGAAGAUGACUGAGCGCAUAAGAAGGAUGAUGUUCUCUGGUAAUUGCAAUCUGCAUGUUAUAUGCUUUUCUCAUAUUCUGCUGCAAUCAUGGAGUUAGUUUGAGCAUGCAGAGUUUAAUACUUAUUUGUGGUUUCUUUGACAGCAAUGUUGCGCAAUGAAGUUGGAUGGUUCGACAAAGACGAGAACAAUGCUGAUACAUUGUCCAUGCGCCUGGCAAAUGAUGCUACAUUUGUCCGUGCUGCCUUCAGUAACCGGCUUUCCAUAUUUAUACAAGACACUGCUGCAGUAUCUGUUGCUCUUCUUAUUGGGAUGUUGUUGGGAUGGCGGGUAGCACUUGUUGCACUUGCAACCUUACCAGUUCUUGUUAUAUCUGCUAUUGCACAGGUAAUAAAGUAUUCUUUAUUUGUCUCCUAUGAACUGAAAAAAAAUGGUAUGUUAACAGAAAUUUGAUGCCUAUCCAUGCAAUUGUUGCAUAGUGUACACUGUUUCUUUGGUUAGAGUUUGGAUUAGGAAAACAUCAAAUAAUAGUAAUUGUGUGGCAAUGCAUUGGAAAGGAAAUAUUUUUAUAAAUAUUCUGUUAUCAUUCAAAGCCUUGUUAGACUUUGUAACAUUGAGCCUUAGCAUUUAUGUCACGUUGAAGCUUGCACAUGCAGGAUAGAAUAGUCUGUCAAGGAUUACUUAAUACACCAAACUCUAAAAUAUCACUCUGUGACAGUAAUGUGCUCCAUAACAGUUCCCUACAUGAUCUACCUCUCUCAAAUAAAAAUCUGGCUGCAUUGGUAUCAGAUAUUGAAAAUUUUAUUUUGUGCAACUUGCUCUUAGAAGCAUCGCCUAUUCAUAUUCUCCAUAUGUUAUAACAUUUGUACAUAAUUACACUGGCAAAUCUCUAAUGGAUCUGAUAAAUCAUGUUGCAGAAAUUGUGGCUUGCUGGCUUCUCAAGAGGAAUCCAGGAGAUGCAUAGAAAGGCUUCGUUAGUACUUGAAGAUGCCGUCCGGAACAUAUACACUGUAGUAGCAUUCUGUGCUGGGAACAAGAUAAUGGAACUCUACAGAUUACAUCUUGGCAAGAUACUGAAGCAAAGUCUUGUCCAAGGAUUGGCUAUAGGCUUCGGCUUUGGUCUCUCGCAGUUUCUUCUUUUCGCCUGCAAUGCCCUGCUUCUUUGGUACACUGCUAUUUCAGUUGACCAGCAACGUCUGACAAUAGCCACAGGACUAAAAGAGUACAUACUCUUUUCAUUUGCAUCAUUCGCACUGGUCGAGCCAUUUGGACUUGCACCUUACAUACUUAAAAGGAGGAAAUCUCUUACGUCAGUGUUUGAAAUUAUUGACCGAGAACCAAAGAUCGAUCCUGAUGAUACCACUGGCUUGAAACCACCCAAUGUUUACGGAAGCAUCGAAUUCAAGAAUGUUGAUUUCUCUUAUCCUGCUCGUCCAGAAAUUCUUGUGCUGAGCAAUUUUAAUCUUAAAGUAAGUGGUGGGCAAACUGUUGCGGUGGUAGGGGUUUCAGGAUCAGGGAAAAGCACUAUUAUUUCUUUGAUCGAGAGAUUCUAUGACCCGGUUUCUGGCCAAGUUCUACUGGAUGGUCGUGAUUUAAAAUCAUUUAACCUCAGAUGGUUGCGUAGCCACAUGGGCCUGAUUCAGCAAGAGCCAGUUAUUUUCUCGACAACAAUAAGAGAAAACAUUAUCUAUGCAAGGCACAAUGCAACAGAGGCUGAGAUAAAGGAAGCUGCGAGGAUAGCUAAUGCUCAUCAUUUCAUUAGCAGCUUACCACAUGGCUAUGACACUCAUGUGGGAAUGAGAGGGGUUGAUCUAACACCUGGGCAAAAGCAGCGGAUUGCCAUUGCUAGGGUGGUUUUGAAGAAUGCACCGAUAUUGUUGUUGGAUGAGGCUAGCUCUGCUAUCGAGUCUGAAUCAAGUAGAGUGGUACAGGAAGCUCUCGACACUCUGGUCAUGGGUAACAAGACAACGAUUCUCAUUGCGCACAGGGCAGCAAUGAUGAAGCAUGUGGACAACAUUGUUGUCCUAAAUGGUGGCAAGAUAGUAGAGCAGGGUACACAUGACUCUCUGAUGGACCAGAACGGUCUAUAUGUUAGAUUGAUGCAACCCCAUUUUGGCAAGGGCCUUCGCCAGCAUCGGCUAAUGUAAUUAUGAUUGAGCUUGUUAGGUGUAAAUUAUCCUAGGGCAUGACCAGGACCUGUUUCGCUCUUUGUCCAGCCGCUCAGGGGCCCUUUUUGGCAGAUGAAAAAUGCUGGAAGUGUCCACUUGAUGGCGCUGUACUGAGUGGAACGGUUACCUGGUCUUGACAAAAUUUUAGCUUGAAGAUUCAGGUAAGUAACGGCGUUGAAACUUUAGGGAACAGCUUAUUCUGGAAAUAGUUAGCAAAGUUUGGAGGGCAUUGUAAUUGCUGUAAUAUAUGAGUUGCAAACAUUCUUUCUGAGGCUCGUGUUCUGUGGUUUCUCUCGACUCCGUAGUGUAUUACUGUGAUCAGCUAACGUGUUACGCGUGUAAAAAGUCCAGUUCUUUGUGGGUAUGACUCUUGCCGCCGUGAUCAAAAGCCUCUUGGCUGGUAAAUCUGACACGAAUUGUUGUUGAUCCCAUUCGGUCGCUAGAUGUUAGGAUAGUCGCUCUUUAAUUUUUGAGGAAAUUUUGAACUAAAUCUUGUAUCCAAGUUUACCGUGUCACUGGGCGCUCGCAAGUCGUCGGGUCUACCAGGGCAUGAGCAGUUUUUUCGUCGUCUUUGCGUAUCUUAGAAUAAGAGACAAUGUAGUGCGGAAUUCUUGUUUCCCUUUCCGUUGCUUUAUUUGGAUGUUUUCUAAGUUGGCAUAACCCUGCACUUGGACUGAAUGCUGUUUUCACCGAAUGUACAAAACAGUCGCAAUCAGUUUAUGACCUUUUAUUUGCACCUAAUGAUCCAUUUCAAGCAUGAUUAGGAGCGCGCGGAUUAUCACCACGGAAGGUACACCAUUUCCCUUCACCAUGAGUACAUGUACCAUGACUCAUGAGACCGUAUUACAUUAUAGUUAACGAAGAAAGCGAGCAAUCACGCGGUCAGAUCCGAGAUCUUGAAAGAAUCCGCGACGACCUUGAGCCUGUUCCGCAGCCUGCUCCACCGGCGUUCGUUCGCGGUCACGAUCAGCGUGUAGUACCGGCCUGGUAAGAAUAAUACAGAGUUCCAUCCCCUUUUAUUCAGACGGGAACACACGAGCCGACCUAGAUUUUGUAGUUUAAUUAUAGGCAUCAUCCUACCGUUUCCAAUGGCGACCGUUGCAAAGGCAGAAACGCCGUAGCCCGGAGCCUCCAGAUCGUACUCAAACGUCCAGUAGUUCUUGCCGUCCACCGUGCGCUGCAAAAAUAGUAGGAUCAACCGCUAAUUUCAGUAGCAAUGUUUAGCCGUGUAUAAUCCUGCUACUGAAUUGCAUCUCAAAUGAACACUGAUAUGCACAGCUAUAGAACAGCAAAUGCACAGUAGCGCAUGAAUUGCUCAUCGACGCUUCUGCUCAGGCACUUAGUAAAUCUAGAGCAUCAAAAUAAAUUUGCAACUCCGUGGCGCCGAGUAAGAAUGCUGAUUGCAUGAACAAUGAACAGAUGGCAAACCUCUUGCAUGUCAUAGAUGGACGGUAUUUGAUUUGGGGCAGCAUAAACGUUGUUUACCAAAUUGAAGAUGGCCUGGUAUAAUGUUAAAAAUGCUCAUCAGAUCAGCAAAAAUGAAUAUUCAGCGCUGCGGCUGCAGGGUAUUCAAAGCUAUGUCUAUUUUUUGACCUAAUCAAAGAAAAGGGUACAUAGUAGAAGAAAAAAAUUGAAACCCACCUCAUCCAUUGGUCCUAGGUCACGGAUAUCUGUUUUCUCAGUAGGAACAAAUCCCACACGGACACACUGAAGAGCCAGAUUACGAUCUUUGAAUGCUGAAUCGUGACCCAAGAAGUCGAAAUCC